UUUAUCUUCUUCCUCUUGUGACUGUUGGUCUUCACACAUAAUUAAUGCCAUGGAUGGAUUGCAUCAUGCUAGUCAAUUCAAGCACAACAUAAUGAAUUGUGAACCAAUCCACCUUCGACAAUUUGUGGUUGACCUCAGAUCCAGACAGGUUCAUUAUUGGACUCAAUUCUCCGGCCCCACUCCCAGACAGCGGAAUAGCAAACACCGUACUUAUCAUCAUUGGUGUGUGAUACCUAUCCGCAACAUUGUAGCCACCCAGGCCCCUUAUCAAACUCCCAAAUAUUUCUACCUUGCCCUUCCCAACGAUGUUCUUUGCAAUGUUGCCCGCUUUAGGCUUCGUGUCCAUACUCUUCAGUAUGAAACAUCUACUUGGAAUCAGGGUUCUUCCUCUCAUUGUGAUUUAUGUCAGGAUGUAGAUUGUAUCCAAGAUGAAAAACAUGUUAUUUUUCACUGUACUCACCCCCAUGUCGUUGCAUUGCAUGCUAAGUAUGCCUUCCUAUUCAAUAAUCAGGAGGCUCAAAAUGUUCGUAAUUUUCUUCUUCAAGAUAAUAAUAAACUUGCUUAUUUUAUCCAUGAAAUUGUUACUUUUUAUGAACAGGCUAGCAGUCGUGCGUUUUGACUGAAGGCCUUUUUCUUUCCUGUAACCCUGUAACCCUGUAACCCUAGCUGCAGUUCCACAACUACGGCAUAGCUGCUGCAUACCUCUCUUGCCUCAACCAGGCAGGGAACAGGUACCCUGAGCUGCCACCAAACCCCACAACCCAGCCUCCUUUGCCCGCACCUCCCGCAGCACAAGCCCCUGUACAACCAGCACUUUCUCCUCCUGUGCCUUUCCACCCCUUCUGCAGCGCCGUGAGCAACAACUUCUUUCAUCGCGUGAGACGCCUGUGGGUGAGACUGAGCCUGUUAAAAGGCCAACACCCCUCUACAGUUACAGUUACAGUUACAGAGAAGAAAGGCCUGCAGUCAAAUCGACUGACUGCUAGCCUGUUCAUAAAAAAGUAAAAGUUCAUGCAGGAAAGGAUAAAGUUUAUUAUUGUUUUGGUUCAAAAAACAUCGCAUGGCAAUCGGUGGAACAUGGUGAGAUGCAUGCAGGAAAGGUGCCGCUUGAGAUUCUGGAGUUGCGAGGGAAAGGGCAUGUUCAUUAAACAAGGAUGCAUAUUUCCUUCUAAGAUUGCAAACAUGAGGGUGAGUACAUUUAAAUAGCACAUGUUGUUCAUCCUGAACGUCAUCGUGAGCAUCACACAGAUCGCACUUAGUAUCAAUAUUUUCAUUCCAGUAGUUUAGCUCAAUCCUCAAAAAAUGAACACGUAACCGAAAGCAGGCAACACUGCGUAAAAUAUGUGUGGGCAGAUCCAAAUGGAAGUACUUGGGCAAACAACAUAGGGAGAAGGUAGCAUGAGCGUCACGUUGUGGAAGGGCACACCAAUGAUGGUAGGUGAACGUUUUACUGUUUGUGUCAGGUUCCCGUGGCUGACGAGCAGUAAAAAAGGGUUGCUGCCAGAAUGCCAAAUGACGUUUCCAAAGGUCUACAACAAGUUGACUCAGAUUCAGAGGACUGCCAUUGAUAAUAUGAUGAUGGUAAGAUGGAGUAUGCCUAAGACCUUGUGUACCAAGCAAGAGAUGAGAAAUCCAGCAUGCAGGAUGGAAUUGGCUGAGUGAAAUGUCUGCCUGAAAAACCUUACGAAGGAGAGGGCUAUUACAAAAAAUGAGGUUGUUGUAAAGGCGUGCACAUGCUCGAAGCCAAUUCAAUUGCAUGGGUUUUAAGCCACAUUCCUGUAACACACUCCAUGAAGGUGUAGAAUUCCUGACCCCUAGUAUGGUGCGUAAAAAUUGUAAGAGCCACUUUAGAAUGCAAUUUUCCAUCUCUUGACCCUGUUGCAGAUAGGAAGUGGCCCAAAUCUGAGAAGCGUACAUGCCUGCUGGGAUGACAUAAGUUUUGAAUAACCAGAGAUACGCAUGUAAACGAUGAGUGAGACCAUGUUGUUGAAUAAAAGUACGCAUUCUGGCCAUGCUUGCCAGGCACAGCUUGAUAGCCUCCUCUGCAGCUUUGUUCAGAUUAAACUUCUUGUCACAAAACAUGCCUAGAUAUUUGAAAUGCUCAGAGAAAGGCAGUUCCUCAUUGUUGUACAGGAGAGUAGGCAUAUUGUGACCCUGCGAAUUAAAACACACCACAACAGAUUUCUGUGUGUUGACGGUCAGGAAGUUGUCACGGGAGUAUGUGGAAAGGCGAUUCAGCAUUUGCUGUAAAUUGGACGGGGAGUUAGAAGUGAGGCACAGGUCGUCAGCAUAAAGGAUAUGGGAGACAGCAAGGUUGGGAAUUCCUGUACACGCGGCUGGGAUAUCAUGAAAGAUGCUAGGGAUGUCAUUCAGGUAUAAGGAAAAGAGCAAAGGAGAUAAGGGACAACCUUGUUUGACACCAUGUGUUGCUUUGAUACGCGCGUGUUUGUCUCCAUCAACCAAAAUGUAUUCAUCAUCUUGGUACAGAUUCAUAAGAAUAUGAAUGAAAUGUGAAGGCAGUCGACACUUCUGUAAAUGUUGCCAGAGUCGAUGUCUGGGUACAGAGUCAUACGCUUGCUGAACAUCAUUAAAGGCAGCAUACAGACGAGAAGAGUGAUGUGGUUGAUGAAUUUGUGCAGCAUUCCUCAGAUGACAGAGAAAAAAGAGUGGGUGAAGAGUACUGCGCCCAGGAUAAAAACCAAAUUGAGAGUCAGGUAUUGAAUGAGUUUGCUCACACCAGUCUUGCAAAAGGGUACGAAGCACAUUGGUAUAAAGGCGAUAAAAGGUCCCACUUACAGCAAGCAUGCGGUAAUUACUGGCAUGUACAAUGGAACCUUUUUCACACAGAGGGGUGAGUUUAGUAGUCUUCCACUCUGAAGGUAUGGAGGCUUUAAUAAAAAGCAAAUGAAAAAAGGUUGAAAUGAUUGGUGUCAGAACAUUGGUUUGUUGGAAGGCUCUGCCGUCAUCAUGCCUAGCCACUGUGCAAGCAUACUUGAGAAAAGCUGGCAAAAUAGAGUCAAAUCCUGGUGAUGAGCUACCGUUGAGGCGUGAAAUGUGGAGCGCCACAAUCUUAUGUAUUUGACUCUCGUCAGGAAGAGGAAAACUAUCAGAAGAGGGCGCAUCGUCUUGUGACUGGUGGUGCCCACUAAGGGAAGGAACAGUAUGUGCAUGAAGUGAAGAAGAGGAGCUCGUGGAUCGUAGGAAAACUUUAGACAGAUGUUCCUGCCAUGCUGGAAGGGACACGGGUGUGGUAUGUUUGACAGGUUGUUGUCUCAAGAAAGAAUGAACAGAUGGAUCCUUGCGGUAAAGUUUGUCCAUGAAAGCAGCAGCGCGCGCAUGGGUAAAUCUGUGUUUUGCCCGUUGUACUUGCGCCUUGUAUUGGCGAUGAAGUUGUUGGCAAGCAUGCCAGGCUAGCCCAGAUUUAACUGCGAGAAGAAACUCUUUCUUUCUGGUUGCACAUUCCAGAUCAAACCAAAAGGGUCGUCUAGAAGUUGAACGAGGAAAAGUUGACCUGGAUAUAGUCAUGCCCACUCGAGGGUCACACGCUGUCUGUAUAAUCCAAGAUUUGAGCUCCUACUAUGACGAAUCAACAUCUUGUGCCUGAAUAUGAUGUAAAAAAAAGUUACGUUUCUCGUCAUUGUUACGGAGGAUUUGAGCAAAAAGGGUGGCGCGAUCCGGUCGCCAUCUUAAGAGAAAUUCUUGACAUUGUGAGGGUAAAAGAAAAUUACAUAUGGGUGAUUGAAGUCUCUUAUCUAGAUGCCCUGUUGGACUGGAAGAGGGGACAAAAAAAUUGGAUAGAGCGGCGUGGUCAAAACAUACAGGAUGUGAUUUUAGCACCGUGCAAUAGCGAGAACACCCCUCUACUCACCCAAAGUCCUCUGACCCCUCAGCUGCUGCCCCCCUAGGCAAGUCAACCUCUGCCCGCACUGACCGCUGUGCCCCAUCAGAAACACGCAGGGUCCAGCCCCCGGCAAGCACCAGGCACGACACCCCAGAGCGUCGCCCACCACUCAGGCCCAAGCGCCAACCAUCUUCCUCACCUAGCUCCUCAUCCUCUUCCUCAGGUGGUUCCUCUCGCAGGUCCAGCUCACUUGGGCGUCAAGAACGCAGCAGACACACCCCUCACAAGAAACCUAAACCCUCUGCAACUCCGCCUGCACGCGCGCCUGCCACUGGUCAACCACCGCCCGCAGGCUACCCCACUGCACUCACUCCUAGACCUGUGACAGGGUUUGAACAGACCCCACGGCAACAGCCUCAAGGCUCUGCUGGAUGCCCUGACCAGGAAGAACCACUAGACUACGGCCCUGCGCCUGACCUCCAGGUCACAGCAACUGGCUCUCUAGACUUCUCACAAAGCCAGGAGCAGCCACCCGCUGCACCAGAGCCUCAUCCCACACCCCACGCCACCGCACAGACCCACGCAGGCACAACUCCAACUCAGCCUGGCACAACGCCUGUAGGUCAGACGAACACAGGUACAGCUGGUGCCCAACCCAACAUAGCCACUGCUGACACCGGUCCUGCCUCGACUGCUGGUGCUGGCUUGCCCUUCCCUGUCAACACUGCCCCUGCUCUGCCUCCUGCCGCUGGACCUGGCCAACCAGCUGCUGCCCCUGCUGGCACAACAGUGUUUCCUGGCUCUGCUCCACCGCCCUCCAACGCUGGCCACACCCCACCUCAGUCUGUGGUAUACCCUAUUGAAGCCGCAGCUCAUCUCGUUUCCAACCCGCACAGCCCUGUCCCCUUUGUGCCUCACAGCGUCCACAUCACCAUCCAACCUUCAAACCAGGGUCAGGCGGCAUUGGCACAGUUGCGUGAAGUGCACCAGAAUACGUGUAACUACGUGCAGCAGCAGGUUAACAGCUUGAUGGAUGGGCAGUGCAUCGUAAUUGUGUCAACUGAGUCUACCCAGGUCAGUGGGCUUCUCCAUUAGCUUUAGACACCAUUGACCCUGCAGCUAGACGUCUCUCCGGUAUCAUUAGCACAGGUGUGCAAGGUAAAGCGCAACAGGUGCACUCAUCCCCAAUCAAUCUACCGCCACCUGAGCCCAGUGUUUUCCUGCCAUCUCCAGCACAUAGCGCGCAUCACUCUGCCCCCAACUCCUCUCGUGACAACUUCCUGACCGUCAACACACAGAAAUCUGUUGUGGUGUGUUUUAAUUCACAGGGUCACAAUAUGCCUAAUCUCCUGUACAACAAUGAGGAACUCCCUUUCUCUGAGCAUUUCAAAUAUCUUGGCAUGUUAUGUGACAAGAAGUUCAAUCUGAACAAAGCUGCAGAGGAGGCCAUCAAGCCUUGCAUGGCGAGUAUGACCAGAAUACGUACUUUUAUCCAACAACAUGGUCUCACUCACCGUUUACAUGCGUAUCUUUGGUUAUUCAAAACUUAUGUCAUUCCAGCCGGCAUGUAUGCUUCUCCGAUUUGGGCCACUUCCUAUCUGCAACAGGGUCAAGAGAUGAAGAAUUGUAUUCAAAAGUGGCCCUUGCAAUUUUUACGCACCAUACUAGGGGUCAGGAAUUCUACACCUUCAUGGAGUGUGUUACGGGAAUGUGGCUUGGAACCCAUGCAAUUGAAUUGGCUUCGAGCAUGUGCACGCCUUUACAACAUUCUCAUUUUUUGUAACAGUCCUCUCCUUCGUGAGGUUUUUUAGGCGGACAUUUUACUCAGUCAAUUCCAUCCUGCAUGCUGGGUUUCUCACUUCUUGCUUGGCAUACAAGGGCUCAGGCAUACUCCGUCUUAUCAUCAUCACAUCCUCAAUGGCAGUCCUCUGAAUCUGAGUCAACUUGUUAUAGAUCUUCGGAAGCGUCAUUUGGCAUUUUGGAAGCAACCCUUUUUUACAGCUCAUCAGCCUCGGGAACCUGACACGAACAGUAAAACGUUUACCUACCAUCACUGAUGUGCCCUUCCACAACGUGACGCUCAUGCUACCUUCUCCCCAUGUCGUUUGCCCAAGUACUUCCACUUGGAUCUACCCAGACGUAUUAUACACAGUGUUGCCCGCUUUUGGUUACGUGUCCACCUUUUGAGGAUUGAGCAAAACUACUGGAAUGAAAAUAUUGAUCCUAAGUGCAAUCUGUGUGAUGCUCACGAUGAUGCUCAGGAUGAGCAACAUGUGCUAUUUAAAAGUACUCACCCGCAUGUUUGCAACCUCAGAAGGAAAUGCGCAUCUUUGUUUAAUGGACAUGCCCUUUCCCUCUCAACUCCAGAGUCCCAAGCGGCACCGCUCCUGCAUGCAUCUCACCAUGUCCCACCGCAUGCCAUGCGAUCUUUUUUGAUUCAAAACAAUGAUAAACUUUAUCCUUUCCUGCAUGAAAUAUUACUUCUUUACAGGGUUAGAGGAAAAAAAGGCCUUCAGUCAAAAUGCGCGACUGCUAGCCUGUUCAUAAAAAGCAACAAUUUCAUGAAUAAAAUAGACAAGUUUAUUAUUAACUUGAAGAAGAAGAUUACGUACAUCUUGAGCCUUUUGGUUAUUGAAUAGAAAGGCACACUUAGCACGCAAUGCAACGACAUGAGGGUGAGAACAGUGAAAAAUUGUCAUGCCACAUAAGUGCGGCAUCUGAUUCACCAACUUGGUUUGACUAUCCACUAACAUUCCAGAGGCUGAUCCAGAGCAGGUUAACAGUAUUGAAGAAGUGGGUUUAACGUCCAGAGGCUAGGUAACUCUAGCACAAAGGACAGCUGCCAAAUCCUGAGCAGCUUGACUUACUCUGCCUACCUGAGGCUUGCUUAGCUAAUUUCCUGGCUGGAACCUGACAAACACGAUACGUUACCACACUUUGGGCUGCCACACCAGUCCCCUCCCCAAGGGCUGAUCGGCCUUAGCCGGGCAUACUCACGAUGGCGGUCUUCUCACUUGAUGAGUAAUGAAUACAACCAAAGCCAGAAACACGGAAGUCUUCAAUACUGGCUGUGCCAGUCUCUCAGCCACCAUAAAUAUCAGGUUCAACGACCAACCGCCAAUCUGAAGGUCAGCAGCAAUAUAGCAAUGACAAAAAUCUCGCGUGACAAAAUAACAUGAUUUUCAUCUUGAAUACGAUCUACAUCCUGACACAAAUCACAAUGAGAGGAAGAACCCUGAUUCCAAGUAGAUGUUUCAUACUGAAGAGUAUGGACACGAAGCCUAAAGCGGGAAACAUUGCGAAGAACAUCAUUGUGAAGGGCAAGGUAGAAAUAUUUGGGAAUCUUAGAAGGGGCCUGGGUGGCUACAAUGUUGCGGAUAGGCAGCGCACACCAAUGAUGAUAAGUACGGUGUUUGCUAUUCCGUUGCCUGGGAGUGGGGCCGGAGAACUGAGUCCAAUAUUGGACCUGCCUGGAUCUGAGGUCUACCACAAAUUGUCGAAGGUGAAUUGGUUCACAAUUCAUUAUGUUGAUCUUAAAUUGACUAGCAUGAUGCAAUCCAUCCAUGGCAUUGAUUAUGUGUGAAGACCAGCAGUCACAAGAGGAAGAAAAUAAACAGAUAUCCGCCUGCAAGACCUUUCUGACCGUGAUGAGUGAAAGAAAAGAAAAGAAAAGAAAAACUGCGUAGGCAGAGAAACUCCCCCUACAUCAAUUAAGGAAAAGGAGACACAUUGGCUCCGAAGAGCCGUGAGUCUCCCCCACCACAAGGAAAGAAGGAAAAACAAGUGGGGAUCAGGUGGGUUUCUAGAGGCACAAGGCCCUAGAACCUGGCUGUGGGAAGUAACAUUGUUUGCAAUGGCACGUCUGGUGGUAACAAGUUUGUGAGCGUAAAUAGCGGAAUGGGCAUUCAGGCUACAAGCAAGUUUAGUGGCACGUUCGUGGCUCAGACCAAGCUUUUUGAAUUGAUUGAGGGUUUGCUUGAUGUAACUUGUUCCGCCAACGCCCAGGAGAAUGGGGUGAAUAGUGACACUUUUAGCAUCAAUGAGUUUGCUCAAAUGUGCAUGUUGUUGCUUAUCUUAGCCGCCGCCAAUUUAUGCUCGGGUCUCGUAUCCUCACAGUACUUUAUUUCAAUCAGGUGCACAUGCCUUUGGUUGGGAGCUAGAUGGUGAGGCUGUCUCACUCGGCUGGCCGUGCUGGUCCUCUGCAUGUUCCUGUGCCUGUUACGCAACAUAUAGCGUGAGGGAGAGUCAGAGGAUGAAGAAGGAGAAGAAGAAUUGGGUUUGGCAUUAUAAGGGGUGAUUAAGAUAGCAUCAGGACGGCUGGUAGUGAGUCUAGAUCUCUCCAAAAUGUUUCGAGGAAAUCAGUAAUCAGGUAUAGUUCUGUUUGAAGCAUGAGCAGGAAGUUGAAGAUAAUGCUGUGCUAGCCGUUCAUGUUUUCCUACAUCUGUAUAAAUCAAGCCUGCUCCACGAGGGCUUUUGCUAAGAGCUUUUAUGAUCAUUCUGCCAUUAUGACGUUCAGUUUUCAUGUUAGAGAUGAUAUGAUUUUGGCAACCAGAGAGCAUGUGGAGAGCGCUAUCUAGUUGUUGACAGCCUGGGAAAGGGCAAAGAGGGUCAGUGGAUCGUUUAAAGCGCACGGCAUGUUUUUGAUUAUAGAGGGUGCCAGUACGAUAUUGAAAAAUGGUGCGCUUUACAGAAAAAAAAAAAGAAAAGAAAAGGCUACGCAGUCUUGAGGCCGCGUGCAUUAAGGGAAGAAACCCUAACAAAAGUUAGAGGCCUCACCAAGAGGCCCUACAGGAAAGGAUAUUCCAGGCAUGGUCCUGAAGGCAUUACUGAUCUUCUUUUCAACUUGGGGUAGCAAACUUUGAUAGUAAGGGUAGUAACCUAUUUUGGUAUUGGCAUAUCCAAGCUUGUGUUUAGAGUGCAUGUGUAGCUGGAGUGCAGCGUGGAGGUUGGAAAGGUAUGUGAGUUUUGAAGUGUGUACAGGGGCUAUGGAAGUGCUCGCGGCAUGUUCCCUUGUUUCCUCCUUGGCUAACCAAAAAAUUCGUGAGAAAGGGUUUCCGGCAGGGCCUGCACAGGGGAUUUCAGUAUCCGCCACACUGUUGUUUGCUUUGUCAGCCUGAUACUUUGCUAUAGCAUCUGCACAUUCAUUCCCGGAAAUGCCUGCAUGGGCUUUUACUUUGCGAACAUAAAUUUUGACAUGAGAGUUCUUAAUAAGAGUUAAUAUAAUUCUGAGGAUAUCUCCUUGGAUGUGCUCCCUGUGCUUCUCAGGAUACAAAAUUUGUUUGCCUAUUUGACAAGAAGAAAUGAGGCUGUCUGUUCCAAUGUGUGCAUGGCAGUGGGUGAUGGCAGCAGUAACACCUGCUAAUUCUGCUCGGGGUACGUUGUUUGUGAUUCCAGCACCAUUUGGCUCUACAAGGAUUUUGCUGUCAGACAGGGGAUGGUACACGCCUACCCCUAUUCCUUGCUUUCCAUUUCGGGAAUGACAGCUGCCAUCAGUGUACGCCCAUGUCCUCCAGUCUGGGACUUUGAGGGCAAGGUUGGGGUUCAGCAUACAAGCCGCCCUGUUCAGCAUACAAGCCGCCCUGAUGCUCUAUUUGUGCGGCACAUCCCAGGCAGGCAAGCCCAACUUGAUCCUACCAAGAUUCCACCGCAAGAUAGAGACAUUGACCUUGUUGAACUUAAAUUCUGCUCUGACACUAAUCCUGCCAGCGCCUUGGAGCGUGCACAAACUCAACAUUCCCACACCAUUAGCAGACUUAAAACACGCAGCUUAAGAAACGCAAACAGGAAUAAUAAAGUAACUUUGCACACCAUCUUAAUUGGUGUUGGUCAGGGAAGUUCAGGGGGGUCUGAGAAAUUUCGGGUCCACCCGAAGGCCUGUUUAAAAAUUUUCGGGUCUACCCGACCUGCCUUUCAAGACCUUCGGGUUUAGGUGCUAAAAAAAAAAACCGGCCGGGGGCUGACGCCCCCGGCCGGGUGAGUGCGAUGUGGAGUACUAAUUUAUUUGAGCCUACCUUCUUUCACCAUUACCUUCCCUUUACCGCCAGCGCCGUACCCCUGAGCAUGGGCGACCCCGGGAAUUUCCGGUAUUCUCAUUCGGACUUGCGUCGACCUCUCAGGAGGUCGGGGGUUCGAGCCGCUUAGAUGCCCUCGAAGGCAUAAACAGCGGAAACACUUCCUUCCUUCCUUCCUUCCAUUACCUUUCAAAGAAGAUCUUGUAUACCCAUACAAAUUAUUUCCAAAUUUCUUCAUCCCAAAAUUCCUUCUUGUUUACCCAUACAACUUAUUUCCAAAUUUCUUCAUCCCAAAAUUUCCUCCUUUUCAUAUACCCACCAUUUUCUUUUAACACAGGAGGGGAAUUUUGAUUUCAAUCCAUGGGAAUUUUUUUGGACUGCUGCAUGGCAGCUGCAUGUCAUAGGAGGGGGCUGCAGUUUGCUGCAUCACAUGUGUUACAAUUGCCAAAAAAUGGAGGGUGUAAUGAAUGCAAAAAAAAAAACAAAGGUGUCCACAUUUACAGAUCGUCCAACUCGGUUGCUGCCGCAUUCACACCCAAGUCCAUCAUGCUCCCCUCCUCAUUCAGAUUGCUGAGGCCAAAGCAAUCCGUUCCAUCAUCAACUUCUCCAUCCUCCUCCUCCCCUUCACUCAUCCAUGCUCCCACAUCAUCUUCUUCCUCAAUCUCAUCUUCCUUGGACAUAUCUAGAUCUGGCUCUACACCUUCAUCUACUCCAUCAGCCAGCAAGCCCAAUUCAAUAUCAUCAAUUCUCUUAAACAGAUCCCGCAAUUUCAUAUCCUCCCUUGAGCCAACAGGGACGUAAUUAUGUAUUCUGGCAGCAGCUGCAAAAUCAAAUGAUUGCAAAGGUUGCCCCAGGGUGAGCAACUUGAUGCGCAACAAAGAAUCAAGCGUCAUGAUUUUCAGACGAUUAGUCAACCUGUUUUUCAAGAUGCGGUGCAAACUGAAGCCACGCUCAACAACAGCAGUUUGCACAGGUGUUAAGAACAUUAUGUUAGCAAAAAUAAUCAUUUUUGAAUACACUACUGCAUCAGGGCUAUUCCGCAACAUGCCCCACACUGCCACCGGAUCAACAAUUUUAUAUGUAUUCACCAAUGUAUGCAUUGCUUGCUUCAUGACCAUAAAUUCAUGUGCAAUGCUAGCCCCAUUAAAAUCAAACAAUUUCUGUGAACCCCUCUCUUUGCCACAGAAGUGCGCGAGCAAGACUUUAAAGCUCUCCCAGCCAAACUUCUCUAGGCUCUCAACAGGCAUAUUCAAGUAAAAACUGGGAAUAAAAAUAUGAAAGUGCCCCAGCAAAGCGCAGCUCUCAAACCGCUCUUUAAACUUUUGUACAAUAAACUUGGCUAAAUUCCUCAUCUCCCUCUGCAAAACAAGCAAACUGCACUUCCUCAUUUUAAAUUUGAAUUGAGGGCUUGGAAUCCACCAGCCAUCCUUUUUCACUCCCGCACAAAAGGCUUUAAAACGGACCAAAUGUACACUUUUUAAAUCCUCUGCAGAAACAAACAUUUGUUCAAGCUGCUGCACUGUUCUGUUUACAUGAUGUACAACUUCAUGAGGCAGAAUACUGUCUGACUGAAGCUCUUUGCACAGAAUAACAACAGGUUGCAACAUAUCUAAGACCAAGAACAAGGUACUCACUGCCUUUAAGCUCAGCAACCUCUUUUUCACCCUUACAGCGACAGGCCAAGAGCGGGGAUUAUUUGUUGCAGACUGAUCAUUAUACUGACUCAGGAAUGCAAGCAGAACUGGCAGGUUGGAACACAAGACAUCCAAGCACUCUGCUCGGCUGAGCCAGCGCGUAGGCACAUACAACGGAAACUUCAAGCGUUGCACACCUCUUGCCUUGGCAAAAUCUUCCCAUUCUUGCUGACGCUUAUGGCUUUUACUAAAUAAAUUGUGCACAGCCUUCAACAAGCUGUCCACAAGCUGCAGACAUUCAUUUUCUUUCCCGGCAUCAUUCAUGACUAGCGCAGUCCUGUGUGCUGUACAGUGAACACCAACUAUAUACGGGCACAGCUUUUCCCUCAACUGCUGCUGCACACCAGUGUGCAGCCCCAUGUAAUUAGAUGCACCAUCCGUACACAUUGAAAUAAGCUUUUGCUUAUCUAUACCCAAGGCCUCAAGAAUGCCAAGCAAAACGCUGUAAUGGUGACUUGCAUCGUCUGCUUUUGCGCUGACGCAGCACAGAAAUACAGUGACAAAAGCAAACGUGCUAGCAUCCAGAAACCUGAUAUACACCAUGAUGUGGUUCUGCGUGCUUAUAUCAGUCCCUCCAUCACAAAGCAAAGCAUAAAAAGGACUUACAUUAAUUCUUGCAAUUGUGGCGCUUAAUAAGACUUCGCUACAAGCAUACAUAGAAGACCAGAAGUACCUACGAUGGUUGUAUUUGUGCAAAAUUUUACUUGUGCAUGCCAGGGAAAGGAGCUGCAAAAGAGAUGCAAACUUCUGCCCAGGAACACCCUCUUUAAUGAGCCACAAGGCAGCCAUGAGCAUCGUAGGAAGCACACUGAGCACGGUAGACUGUUGCUUGUCAUGCAUUUUUUGCAAGCCACCACCGAUGCUGCCUACCCCACCAGCACUUGCAAUUGCGGUAUUCUUGGCUUGUAUGUGUCCAGCGGAGGACUCAUGGUCUCUCAGGACACCCGCAUCUCCAAUCACAGCACCAUGGCCACCAUCAACUUUCCCAGCAAACUUGGAUGCAGACUUGCUAUGCUCACGACAUAUGGUGCACACGCCUUUUGGAUGGCCAUACUCAGACUUUUUGCCCGUAUAUUGUAGCCAGGGAUAUGACUUCUGCCACUCUUUCUCCUUGUUGUCCCUGGCUUUCCUGUCCUUCUCCGCCUUAUCCUUCAGAACUUGCUCUUCUUGCUUCCUUUUCUUCUCCCUCUGCUCCUCUUUCCACUACUCUUUGGACUCUUCUGCAGGAGAAAGGGAGGCCCCCAGUGGUCAGUGCAAGUUGCAUGCAAUUUCAAGCUGCUGCAGCACCAACUUUGGCUGGGAAUUGUGCAGUUCAGCAACUGGUCCUCACCAGUCUCAGUGACCUCGCAGCGGACAAGCCCCAGAGUGAGGGGAAUGAUGACGAGGGAGACGAGCUUGGUGAGCGUGGAGCGCUGCCGCUUGCUGCCGGUCUGCUUGCUGCCCGAUGCUGAGGCUCCAGCGGGAGCGGGAGCAGGCGGGAGGUCCACGUACGGCUCAAGCCUGAGGGGGACAGGGUUGGGGCCAGCCCCCUCGGGCCACGAACGCUCACCAGACGCCCCUCUGAGUGCCAGCCUCGCUUCCUCCCAGGUGUGGUCAGAGUUCAGCAAAUCCUGCAAUGUCUCCCUGAACUCAGGGUCUGGGUGCUGCUCCAUCCACUCAUUGGACCAGGCCUCAGGGGGAGUGUUGGCUGGCUGAGAGGGGGGCUGAGGAGGAGGGGUGGGCUGUGGGGCCUGGGAUGCCCCUGCCUGCAGGGGAGCCCCUGCAUGGGACGGAUUUGUGGCCUUCAGAGCAUGGCACUCUGACCCAUGCAUGCUGUUGAUGCAUGCUGACCCAAAUGAGGAUUGAUGCCUGCCAGCAACUCAUGACUUACAAAGGGAAGCAAUUGUAGUCUGUGACGUGGGCGGGGGAGGAGGCUCUGGAAGGCUGGGCAUGGGGCCUCUGCCCCGCCCUCCCCGUCUCCCUCCUCUCCUAGCCAUGGCUGCUGAUGACCCUGGCUGAUUCUGCCUACGUUGAAAAAUGCACCCAAAGUACAAAUUAUAAUGUUCGGGAAAGAAAGAAAGAAAAGAAAAAGAAAAAGAAAAGAAAAACUGCGUAGACGGAGAAACUCCCCCUACAUCAGUUAAGGAAAAGGAGGCACAUUGGCUCCGAAUAAUGUUCGGGUCCUACCCAAACGGGACCUGGCAUUUUCAAGGAAAUUUUGGGUUUGACCCGAGCGGAUUUGGCCUGCGCCUCGGGCGCAGGCCAAAUCCUUCAAUUAUUUUCGGGUAACCCGAGGGUUUGAACUUCUUUGGUGUUGGUGGCACAAUUUACAACAACUUCACUAUUGCACCUCUUAUAAAUCUGGGCCUGACCAAACAAAAAGCUGAAUCACUAGCUUCCCAACUCAGAGACCAUGCCAUCCAAAGAUUAUCCACCAUCAUUAACACAAGACAUGCACUUUGUUUUCAGGGAGCAUCUGGGAGGGGAGGGUUUGCUGGGCGCGCGGCUGUGGCUGAGGAUGGAAGAAGGAGUGUCCGAGCGCUCAGGGGCAUGGCGGCCAAUCCCCCGGAUCCCCAUUAGUUCUGUUUCUUGCUCUCUCCUAGGCUAGGUUCGUCUAGUUUAGGUGGAGGGACUCUUGGUGAGGCCUCUAGCUUUUGCUAGGGGUUCUUCCCUUAAUGCACGCGGCCUCGGGACUGCGUAGACUUUUCUUUUCUUUUCUUUUCUUUUCUUUUGGGGUUGGAUUGGUGAGGCAUAGAGACUACUUCAAGAUUGUCUGUGGAUGCAUUGUUAAAAGCUGUGGAAAUUUGCUGCUUGUCAGAAGGCAGGCAUCACAGCAUGCAUGGCUUUGAGAAUGUCAUGGCUACUGACACUGCGCAGUUUCCAAUUGGCUCUAGGCAUAUACUUACUGAUGUCACUGGCAAGGUUUUGCAGCCAAGCUGGGUUAUGGCUGUUAAGAUGGAUCCUUGCAGCAGGGUUCCAAAACGCAAUAAUUUGUAUAUCCAAGCUGUGCUGAGGAAGAGGUAUUUCUUGAUUCGGGCAUGAUUGAGGGGCUUUGUAAACAAGGUUGGUCUUCAUCUACUUAUUCGGAAAGCGCGUGUUCCAGAUGCUUGGAAGGAAGCUAAACUCACCCCAAUCCACAAGAAAGGCCCCGUUGUUUCUCCAACUAAUUAUAAGAUGAUACCUGUGAGCGCUCCUAUCUACCGGUUGUACACCAAUGUCCUGAGAUCCAUUAUUCAAGAUUGGUGUAUCCACCACAGGAAAAUUCCUGAUACACAAUAUGGAUUUUAUCCAGGAAGAAGUACCCUUCAACCAAUCUUCAUCCUACAACACCUGAAAAACGCAGCCCAAAAAGCUCGGAGUGAUACCUCCAGAUUGUUUACAGCAUUCAUUGAUUUUCAGCAAGCGUACGACUCUGUUCCUUGGGAAAAGCUGCGGAAACAUUUGUAUCAUUGUCGUCUACCUCAACAACUCAUUGCUAUUCUCCAGGAUCUGUAUCACAUGGAUGUAUAUACUCUGCUUGAUGGUGACAAAAUGGCUAGUGUUCAGCCAGUGUGUGGGGUUAAACAAGGAUGUCCUCUAUCCCCUCUUCUUUUCGCAAUUUAUCUCAACGAUAUUGAUACUGUUGCAGAGGGUGUACAAGGUGCUCUGACAGCCAUCCCAAAUUUAACGGUGACCCAUUUACUUUUUGCUGAUGAUCUGGCUUUUACAGCAAACAGGCAACCAAGUUUACAAAAGCUUCUAAACAACCUGAAAGACUACGCCAUGAGGAAAUCUUUGGUUGUUAAUACGUAGAAAUCCCAAGUGAUGUGUGUAAAUUCCAGGUCUGACAAUCUGCCGACUUUUUUCUAUGAUGGGUCACCCUUAACUUACACUGACCAUUUCAAAUAUCUAGGGAUGGUGAUUGAUAAGCAAUUUCAUCUUUCAACAGCAGCAGACGCAGCCUUACAGCCUCUGGUGAAUGAGACUUUCAAAAUACAGCGCUUUGCUCAGGAGCACGGUCUAACCAACCGACUUCAUGCUCUCAUUUGGUUACUUAAGACUUAUUCCAUUCCUGCUGGUAUGUAUGCAAGUCAGAUUUGGGCAACCCCCUUCCUUAAGCAAGGUAAAGAAAUGGACAACCCAUUACAAAAAUGGAUUAUUGCAACACUUAAAAGGUGGCUGGGUGUCAGAGAUACAACUCCUUCUUGGUCUGUGCUGCGAGAGUGUGGGCUUGAACCGCUACAACUCAAUUGGUUCCGAGCAGCUAUUCGUCUGUACAACUCGUUUACACAAUGCAAUAGCAUCACGGUCAGAAAGGUCUUACAGGCGGAUAUCUGCUUAUCUUCUUCCUCUUGUGACUGCUGGUCUUCACACACAAUUAAUGCCAUGGAUGGAUUGCAUCAUGCUAGUCAAUUCAAGCUCAGCAUAAUGAAUUGUGAACCAAUCCACCUUCGACAAUUUGUGGUUGACCUCAGAUCCAGACAGGUUCAUUAUUGGGCUCAAUUCUCCGGCCCCACUCCCAGACAACGGAAUAGCAAACACCGUACUUAUCAUCAUUGGUGUGCGCUGCCUAUCCGCAACAUUGUAGCCACCCAGGCCCCUUAUCAAACUCCCAAAUAUUUCUACAUUGCCCUUCCCAAUGAUGUUCUUCGAAAUGUUGCCCGCUUUAGGCUUUGGGUCCAUACUCUUCGGUAUGAAACAUCUACUUGGAAUCAGGGUUCUUCUUCUCAUUGUGAUUUUUGUCAGGAUGUAAAUUGUAUCCAGGAUGAAAAACAUGUUAUUUUUCACUGUACUCACCCCCAUGUCGUUGCACUGCGUGCUAAGUAUGCCUUUCUAUUCAAUAACCAGGAGGCUCAAGAUGUUCGUAAUUUUAUUCUUCAAGAUAAUAAUAAACUUGUCUAUUUUAUCCAUGAAAUUGUUACUUUUUAUGAACAGGCUAGCAGUCGUGCGUUUUGACUGAAGGCCUUUUUCUUUCCUGUAACCCUGUAACCCUGUAAACAAGGUUGGUCUUCGGGAUGGUGCCAAUUUCAUAGCAUAUGUGGGGAAAUGCAGAAAUGAGUUUAAAGCAGGGGUUCAUUAUCAUUUGUUUUCCCCAAACAGGAAGGAACAUGAAGGUAGCAGUGGCCUCUGUGUUGUGAAUGGCAGAAUAAAUGGCAUGUCGCAAGGUUUGUGUCAUAGUACCCUCAUUAUAGAUGGGAUGGCAAGCAGAGAAGCCUGAAAACCUGGAUGAAAGAGAAUUAUGGAGGGCACCAAAGACAGCGUGUCGAGAGUCAGCACUCCAGUAGUGUUGGUAAUGUGGGUCGUGGUCUAAAGGGGAGGCCAUCUUUUCUUGAGUUACUAAGGCCCAUUUUUGGAGUGCUGAAUAGAUGUCUGCAGGUAGGGCCCGUGAGAAGGAGUCUUUGAUCUUUUUGCUAGAGUAUUUGUUUUCAAGUAGUGUUUUGCGGGAGAGAAGGCCUUGCAGCUCAGAUGCAAAGCUGGCAGGAGCUGGCUUCAUUUUGUCGUGCAUGCCAUGAAGCUUGGCUCUAUAAAAUGCCCUGUAGAGGAUAAAGGAACGGUUAGGGGAUAUCAUCCCAACGCAUUUACCUUGUGUGUUAUAAAUGCAAGCCAUGUGCGUCCUGUAGACCUCCGGGAGAAUUAGUGUAGGAGAACGGACGGAGGGAUUGGGUGUGUGGACCAGUGUCAGGUGGCGCUUCAGCAGGAGCUUGCUCAUCUUUGUAUUUCACAAGGCCAAUUUCAUGCAGCCAAAAUUCGCAGGAACCAGUUGACUUUAUGUCUGCUUGAGGAUUAGUGGGGUUUAGAUCAAAGAUGACUUUGUUGCGCAGUUCAGUGUCUAAUUUUUGCUUCCAUACAUUUGAACUGUCAAGUUUCUCAAAGCCUUGUCUUUCUAGAUUAGAUAGGUCAGAAUCUGCGGUGGGUAAGGAGAGGUCAGGUUCACUUUCCCUGGCUUGAAAUUCAAGGAGACGAGUGUGGAAUUCAGGCCAAAGGUCUUUGGUCUCUUCUGGUUCCCAGGUGGGCUUCCAGGUGACCCUCCAUAGUUCAUGUUUGGACUGUUGUUCCCUGUCAGCUUUUUCCCUGUCAGCCGCGGGAACCUGAGACGAACAGUAAAACGUUCACUUACCAUCAUUGGUGUGCCCUUCCACAACGUGACGCUCAUGCUACCUUCUCUCCGUGUCGUCUACCCAAGUACUUCCAUUUGGAUCUACCCACACAUAUUUUACGCAGUGUUGCCCGCUUUCGGUUACGUGUUCAUCUCUUGAGGAUUGAGCUAAACUACUGGAAUGAAGAGAUUGAUCCUAAGUGCGAUCUGUGUGAUGCUCACGAUGACGCUCAGGAUGAACAACAUGUGCUAUUUUAGUGCACUCAUCCUCACGUUUGCAACCUUAGAAGGAAAUAUGCAUCUUUGUUCAAUGGGCAUGCCCUUUCCCUCUCAACUCCAGUGUCCCAAGCGGCACCGUUCCUGCAUGCAUCUCACCAUGUCCCACCACAUGCCAUGCGUUCUUUUUUGAAUCAAAACAAUAAUAAACUUUAUCCUUUCCUGCAUGAACUCCUACUUUUUUAUGAACAGGCUAGCAGUCAGUCGGUUUGACUGGAGGCCUUUUUCCUCUGUAACUGUAAAUGUAACUGUAACUGUCAGCUUUUUGAUCGUGAUUCAAUUCUGUAACAGGCGGGGCAGGCCCACUGGUGAGCAUCAUCAAUUUCUUGUCUUUGGUCAUCAGUAUAACAACCAAGAUCUUUCAUUUCCAAUGAUAUGUACGAUGGCAAGUAUCAAAGAAAAAAAGAAAAGCCUACGCAGUCCCGAGGCCGCGUGCAUUAAGGGAAGGACCCCUAACAAAAGUCAGAGGCCUCACCAAGAGGCCCUCCACCUAAACUAGACAAAACUAGGAGAGAGCCAGAAGCAGAACUAAUGGGGAUCCGGAGGAUUGGCCGCCAUGCCCCUAAGCGCUCGGACUCUCCUUCUUCCAUCCUCAGCCGUUGCCGCACGCCCAGCAAACCCUCCCCUGCCAGAUACUCCCUGAAAACAAAGUGCAUGUCUAGUGUUAAUGAUGGUGGAUAGUCUUUGGAUGGCAUGGUCCCUGAGUUGGGAAGCUAGCAAUUCAGAUUUUUGUUUGGUCAGGCCCAGAUUUAUUAGAGGUGUAAUUGUAUAUUUGUUAUAAAUCGUGACACCAACACCAAUUAGAAUGAUGUGCAGUGUCACUUUAUUAUUCCUGUUUGGGUUUCUUAAGCUGCGUGUUUUAAGUCUGGUAAUGAUGUGCAAAUGUUGAGAUUGUGCACGCUCCAAGGUGCUGACAGGAUUAGUGUCGGAGCAGAAUUUAAGUUCAACAAGGUGAAUGCCUCUAUCUUGUGGUGGGAUCUUUGUAGGAUCAAGGUGGGCUUUUCUGCCUGGGAUGUGUCGCACAAAUAGAGCAUCAGGGCGGCUUGUAUGCUAUACAGGUGAGGCAGCGCCAUUUGUGAAAACCCAGUCUGGAAUAGCGCGAGAGGUGUCUUCAGGGACUUGUAUGCCUUGAUCCAGAAGUCUGUCAUGGUUGCAGCCAUCCAUGCUAAUGAGGGAUGAGCCAAAACGGCCUUUGCCGAGGGCUUUUAUAAUAAGAGUAAGGGCUGCGUGGUGUCUGUUUGUGUGCAUCCCACUCAUUGUUGGGUUGGUACACCUGAGCAGAGCAUGAUAAAUGUUAUCGGUACUUGCACAGAGAGGGCAGCUAUCAGAAUUGGAAAAGUUAAAGCGAGAGGCAUGGCCCUGCGUGUACAGUGUAUCCGUUCGAUAUUUCAUGAGGUUUGUUUGUUGUUUAAGGGUAAUCUUUGGAUUUUUCCAGAAGGAGUUGCUGAUUUCCUUGUUUGCAAGCUGAGGGAUUGGGUUGUGAGCUUCAUUGUUUGUGUUGUUGGUGGAUGGUGUGGCAUCGUUAAGCUUCUGCCAUCUCUGGUAGUGGUAGCCAGAGGUGUCAGCGCAGCCUAGUCUGUGUUUUUUGUGCAUGUGUGUUUUAAGUUUGUUGCUUAUGUUGGUGAGAUAUUGUAUCGGAGAGGUGUGGGAGCGGCGCCUGUCAUUAUUUUGUGUGAAAGGCUUUAGUGAAAGCCAAUAGAAGUUGUGGAAAGGGACCCUGGCAUCAGGAAGUGUGAUGUCUACUGUGUCAGAUAGGGCUGCGGUGCAGGCGCAAGCGUCAGCCCCCUCGUUUCCUAUGAUGCCCAAGUGGGCUUUGACUUUAUAAAAAUGGAUAGGGUGAGGGGAGUGCUCUAUUAUGGUGAAUAUUGCAUGUAUCAACUCUGCAUGUAGGUGAUAUCUCAUGCGCAUGGGAUGAAGGGUUUGAUUUGAAAUUUGAAAAAUGCAGGAUGCACUAUCAGUGGCAAUUUUGGUUUGCUCGUGUUGGAGCGCCACCAGGAUACCCACGAGUUCUGCUCUUGUGAUAGUAUUGGUAGGCCCAUGGCCGUUGGGUUUUAUGUGCAGUUUUAAGUGUUGCGGGGGUUGCGUAGUGUCUAAACCUGGUUUGUAAACACCUGAACCUGAGAGUGGAGGGGAAUUGUCAUCUUUUUGUUUGAUUAGACUGCCAUCAGUGUAGGUCAUUUCCCUCCAAUCCCUGAUUUUGGGUGUGAAUGACUUUCUGUACUUGGCAGGGGUGAAUGCUGCCCUUUCUUGAGGGCACUUGUGCGAGCAGUUGUGGGUGUCAGGGGGGAGUGAUUGGAAUUUCUGCUUCCAAGUGUUUGAAGCAAGGUGUUGGUGUGUACGCAGUUGUGUAGUUGGAUUUGGAGUAUCGAGGGGUAGCCAACUAGCUUCUGCUGCAGCUUGUCCUACAUCUUGCUGGAGAGACUUGAACCAGUCUUUGUUUGCACUGUCUAGCAUAACUCUGGCAUUACGGUUCCACACGACAAUGAGUUGUACAGGAUAGGAAGGUUGGGUAGGGCUGUGUAUGGUAUCAAACCAGUGUUGUGGUGCUUGGAAGUGGAUUUUUUUUGCAGGAAAUUUGGCAAGUACUUUUGCAACGUCUGGGUAUUGUCUGAGCCAGCUCAUAUACGAAUUGCAGCUAAGCCUCUCCAGUGAGGGAGGAGCAUGAAGGUGGCAACUGGAUCUGUGCUUUAAAGGGAGGAAUGCACUGCAUGGCGCAUGUUACUUCAACAUCAUGGGGUGGAUGGCAAAAGGAGAAGCCGGUGAAGCGCACUGAGAGAGCGUCUGUGUGGGCUCCAAAGACUUGGUCUCGAUCAUUUGUACUGAAAUAGGUGUUGUAGGUAUUUUCAAAAUCAAGGGGGCUGGAAUACCUCUCUACUGAGACCAUGCAAAAAGUAAAAGUAAAAGUCUACGCUGGAAACUAACCAGCGUGCAUUAAGGAAAGUACCCAACAAUCAGCGAUGUAGCUUGAAAGAGGGCCCCACCAGUUGUUCAGACCAAGAGAAAGACCACAACACACAUGUCUCCAGCAAGUUCACCCUCCACCCAAGGCAAACAAGACACUCAUGUCAGGGGCCUUGUCCAGCAAACUCAGAGGUUCACCCCAUAGCCUCAGAGAAAGCAGUCCAACAUCUCAGCAGGGCCCCCCCAGCUAGGGGCCGAGCCUUAAAGAAGGCUGGAGGUGAGGCACGCAAUCAUGCAGGCCCAAACUGAGACACUCCACCUCUAUCCGCUGUCCUCCGUGUGAACUUCCGGGACCCUUCUGCGCCGUGAACCUUCCUCCUGGCGCCCGUGCACGCGCCCACGCCACGAGCCAGCUCCAACGCUGCUGCUAGGUCCACCUGCCAGCGUGGGGGUUUGCCGGUGCAUCGCGCACGCAGAGCGUGGGAUGCAGAGCGUUGCCUGGGGAGGCGACCACGAGGAGGUACCCCACGCUGGAUUUCCGUGCCCCCCCCAUGAGACCAUGCACCAUUUUUGCAGGGCAGGUAUCACAAAUUUACAUAUCAUGGAACGAAGGCUCGUUGUCAGAUUCAUGGCCAUAAUGGUAAUUACAGAUUUGGCAGCAGGCACAUUCAACGUCAGUGCGGGCAGCAGGUAAUUUGGUGUCAAUCAGGAAGCCAGCAUCUAUAAAGAAGGGCAAGGCCCAUUUUUCAAUUAUCAUAGUGAUAUUGUACUUGAUUACGAAUAAUAGAGUUUCCCUCAUGGUCUGUCUCCUUUUCUGUGCCAAUUUUCCACCCAUCUAUAUGUGUUAUGCUAAGAUCACUGUGGUAGACUUCAUUGAAAGCAUGGUGAAUCCCUUUUUUAGACGCAAGUUUCUGGACUGUUGAUCUCCUAUAGUUCCAGACCCGCGAGGUUCGGGUAAGUGGAUUGAGAGAUUGAAUGGCAGAGCACGUAAAUUCUGCUUCUCUGUGAUGCAAGAUUCCCCUGUUAUUCUUGUGGUUCUUAGCUUGAGUGGCUAGGCUGGUUGUAUUGUGUGUGUUAGCUGAGAAGCUAGGAGUAUUGCCUGUUUGAUGGCUGUCUGGUUUGUUAAGGGAGCUGGUCUGAGAAAAGGGCCAGUUUGCAGCGUUUGUGUUGGCAUUUGCCCUUGUAUUGUCUUGGCUUCGAGGUGUAGAUGAGGGGAUAUUUCUUAGUGUUGAGCGUGUGCGUUUGCUGGGAGGCCCCCCUGCAGGUGAGUCUUGCACAGUGGGCGUCAUGGCAGCAGAAGCAGCAGUGGAUUCAUGGGUAGGUGUAUGGAUAAUUUGGGGGGCAAUGCUCAGUCUAUAAUUGGAGCGGGUUCUUUUGCUUACUGGUUCAUCUGUGGUAUUUGUUGUUGCUUGUGUGUUGGGACAAUUUCCUUGUGUGGGAUGGCCGAUUGUGCGUCUGAGGCGACGCCCAGUCAGUGCAUGUCUGUAGUGAUCUGUGGAGCGAGGUUGUGGUGGUGGCACUACCUGUGUGGAGGGUAUGUUCUGGUUUGGGAGCCUGCUCCAGGAAGAAUUUGUGUGGGUUGGGUUUGUUCCCUAGUGAGGUGUGUAUUAACAAGGCCGCCUAAGUGUGUAUUGUUGAUGCGGCGAUAAUGCGCAAGUGUGUUUAUUUCUGUGUUUUUAGAAGCAAUGACCUUUUGGAUAGUGGAUGUACACAAAUCUUGUUCCGGGGCCAUGUUGACCAGAGCUGCAAGUCUGUUGAGUGCUAUUAUACACUUUGCGUUAAACGUAGAGUAUUUGGCCUGGAGCUGAGCAACUGUUAUGAUACGGGUAUUGCAUGGGCUGGUGAGUUCGUGGAUUCCAUUGAUUCCAAGGCUCAUGAGGGGUUGCAUUAUGCAGGUCAUCAUGACCUCAUGAUGGGGGAGGUGAGGUUGUGAGGGGGAGGUUUAUGCAGGGAGAGUGCUUUGUAAAUAGGGAGAAGAUCAUCUUUGAAGACAUCAUUUUUCAUGAGGUGGAGUUUACUCGUAUGGAUGCUAAUCAGCUGGCGCACGCACAUGCAGUAAUUGAGCUGUCGUUUAAUGUGCAGAUUAGUCCCUUCUCGUUUGAUAAGAAAUGUAGUGGAUAGUGCUUUAAUGUUUGACAUUUGUUUAGUAAGGAGGUUAAGACUGAUAGUACGGUGUCUGAUAGAGGGGUCUUCUAGGCUGGAAGUGAGAGCAAAGGCAAGACCGUGAUGCUAUUGCGUUGUGUAAACGAGUUAUACAGGCGAAUAGCUGCUCGGAACCAAUUAAACUGCAACGGUUCAAGCCCACACUCUCGGAGCACAGACCAAGAAGGAGUUGUAUCUCUGACACCCAGCCAUCUUUUAAGUAUCGCAAUAAUCCAUUUUUGUAAUGGGUUGUCCAUUUCUUUACCUUGCUCAAGGAAGGGGGUUGCCCAAAUCUGACUUGCAUACAUACCAGCAGGAAUGGAAUACGUCUUAAGUAACCAAAUGAGAGCAUGAAGUCGGUUGAUUAGACCGAGCUCCUGAGCAAAGCGUUGUAAUUUGAAAGUCCCAUUCACAAGAGGCUGUAAGGCUGCAUCUGCUGCUACAGAAAGAUGAAAUUGCUUAUCAAUCACCAUCCCGAGAUAUUUGAAAUGGUCAGUGUAAGGUAAGGGUGACCCAUCAUAGAAAAAAGUCGGCAGAUUGUCAGACCUGGAAUUUACACACAUCACUUGGGAUUUCUGCGUAUUAACAACCAAAGAUGUCUUCAUGGCAUAGUCUUUCAAGUUGUCUAGAAGUUUUUGUAAACUUGGUUGCCUGUUUGCUGUAAAAGCCAGUUCAUCAGCAAAAAGUAUGUGUGUCACCGUUAAAUUUGGGAUGGCUGUCAGAGCACCUUGUACACCCUCCUCUUAGAACCCAAACUCCUGGCGUAAAAAAUUCCAGCUUCUCCUUCCUGACAAUAUCAAUGUCACAGACAACCCUGCACACAACAGCAACAUCACAUAACAUAACAAACAUGUGUAUAAGCGGCCCUUACAACCUAAAUUUUAUGACUGGCGACAAGUGACAUACACAGAUGGGAGUUUCUCCUCCACCAAAGAUAAUAGCACAAACCACUCAGGCGCAUCCUUCAUUACCCCCCAAGCCAACACAAACUCUAACACCAUCAGUUGCAAAAUAAAUCCAAACGGCCAUGGACCAACAAAUACCGUAACCCGCGCAGAAUUGGCAGCCAUCUAUGUAGCUCUAAAGCAUCGACGAACGCAUAUUGCAACUGACAGCGCUGCUGCACUCAAUGAGAUUCGGAACAUGCUUAUGAAGCCUCUGGUUAUGACUUACCACCUACACUCAGACCUACUUACAGAAAUUGUAGCUCUUAUAGAUGCAGCAGACACUCCCAUCCACUUUAGCAAAGUUAAAUCACAUUCUGGCAUUAUUGGGAAUGAAAGCGCUGAUGCACUGGCCUUCCAAGCAGCAGAAGCGCCAGCCAGCUCUGAUGUUACACUCAACAACACAAAAGACCCUUUCUUUGAUGUGUACUGGCUGGCUACUCCCUUUAAAAAACCUGGCUCUCGGACAGAAGAGCUCUGGAGCCUUCCAAAUUUACGUGACAAAUUAAAACAAAUCAUGCAUUCCAACACCGACUCAGAAGUGCCAAUACCAAUACAUAUAGCUACACUAACUGGCAAGAUCUCCUGCACUCUGCCCAUGGCCAGCCCGUAGCCAACCCUAAAUUAAGUAAUGCUUUCUGGCACCUGAAGGCUGUCACUCUUAAAGAACAAAUUAACGUUCUCAAGUACAGAACAGACACCCUAUACAACGAGAAACAUGCCCUACACUUUAGUGGCCAACAUGGUCCUGCCUAUUGCCCCUAUGUGGCAAUCAAGACAGCAUCUCUCAUUCUUUACUUAGAUGCACCCACCCCCAGAUUAAUAGAAUGUGUUUUGAUCGGCAUCAUCAAGCAGUCAGCUGGUGCUUCCAAGAAAUCAGCAAAGGUGACUCGGGUCUUUUCAUUGUGGGAAUGGACGCUACCAGCAGGGAAGAUCUCUGGAACCAAGGCAUGGAAGUCCCAGAAAAUGUCUAUAGGGACAUCCCAGACUGGCUGUAUCCCUCAGGAAGAAACCCUCGGACACAGGAAAGCCGCCCAGAUGGCAUUAUUGUUUUACCCAUGCAAGGCAGGAAUUCCUUUUCCUCUCCUAUGCACAAGAAUCCAAGAGACCGUGACAUCCACCUCAUGGAAUUGAAAUUCUGCUCAGAUACUAAACUUGAAGAAACUCUUGCUGUAGCCCAAGCUCAACAUAAGCACACCAUGCACAGCCUAAGAACAAGACCUCUCAGAGGAGCACAUCGCAAUAACAGAGUCUCUUUACACACCAUACUGAUAGGAGUUGCAGGAACUAUUUACAACAACUAUACAAUAAAACCCCUCACUGAGCUUGGUCUAAACAAAGAAAAAGCACAAACACUUGCCAAAUCACUCCAAUGCCAUGCUGUAAAGGCCCUGACAAAAAUCCAAAGCACCAAAAAUGCCAUCAAAUUCAGCAAUUCAAACAAUGGGGGCUCGGGGGGGGGGACGGCCGGCCGGACCUACAGGAGGGCCAGGCGCACGCUUGGCCGGAUGGAGGACAACCCACCGGAUCCUCAUUAGUUUGGUUGCCUUAGUUAGCUUAAGCUGGUGGGGCCCCCUGUUAUGCUUCAGCGCUGACUGUUGGGUACUUUCCUUAAUGCACGCUGGUUUGUAUCCAGCGUAGACUUUUACUUUUACUUUUCACCCUCUGCAACAGUAUCAAUAUCGUUGAGAUAGAUCGCAAAAAAAAGAGGACAUCCUUGUUUAACUCCACACACUGGCUGAACACUAGCCAUUUCGUCACCAUCAAGCAGAGUAUAUUCAUCCAUGUGAUACAGAUCCUGGAGAAUAGCAAUGAGUAGUUGAGGUAGUUGACAAUGAUACAGAUGUUUCCACAGCUUUUCCCGAGGAACAGAGUCGUAAGCUUGCUGAAAAUCAACAAAUGCUGUAAACAAUCUGGAGAUAUCAUUCCGAGCUUUUUGGCCUGCGUUUUUCAGAUGUCGUAGGAUCAAGAUUGGUUGAAGAGUACUUCUUCCUGGGUAAAAUCCAAACUGGGUAUCAGGGAUUUUUCUGUGGUGGAUACACCAUUCUUGGAUAAUGGAUCUCAGGACAUUGGUGUACAGCCGAUAGAUAGGAGCGCUCACAGCUAUCAUCCUAUAAUUAGUUGGAGAAACAACGGGGCCCUUCUUAUGGAUUGGGGUGAGUUUAGGUUCCUUGAAAGCAUCUGGAACACGUGCUUUCCAAAGAAGUAGGUGGAGAAAGGAAGCUAUAUGUGAUGCCAAUACACGCCUUCCUCCAACACUCCCAACAGACCGCCUGUCAACAACACUCCUGGCGCAAACUCUCCCACAGCGCAUGUAGUCUCCGUGCAAACACACUGAUCAAGCCAACCCCUACCCCAACCUGUCAGAUUGCCCACUGCCACCGGCACCACCAGCCCCUAACGCAUAUGUCACAUCCGGCACCUUGUCUGAUAUUGAUGAGGAAGAGGAAUCAUAUUUCUCUCCCGCCCCUUCGUGCUGUGACUCCCCAGAGCCUCCACACCUCACCAAUUCUCUGGAGCCAGGUGUUGAGUUCACUUUGGAAUUUGAUGACUCGGCCUUGCUGACCCCGCUGGCACCAGCACAGCCGCAGGCUCAUGCAAACGUACGACCGCCCUUACCUUUCCAAGCACCACCAUGGCCACUGCAAUCUGAUCAGCCUGCUCCACCAAUUCAUUCUACUUCCACCAUGGCCCAAGGCACCACUCAAGCACGCCCUUCCCCCUCACCAACUCACCGGCCUACCCCAUUUUUGGCCCCUUUUGCUCCCCGUGCCUGUGCUGUACAGCCAACAAGGGUUUUGCGUCCAGGCCCACCUGCUACAAUGCAGCGCCCUCACAUUCAGGCACCAAUCAACUCAUGGACACUCCAGCAAGUCUUGCAGCUGUGCCAUGAACACGGCGACACCACGUGGCUUUUUGCGCAAGCUGGCCCCGCCUGCACUACACAUCUAUACCGACAUCUAUACCGCAGACCAGCGCCUUAACUACCGCUCUGCUCAAUGCCUCUGAAUGCUUCAGCCCGGACAAUGAUGGCCCCACUGUGCACCUUACGUCCGCAGACAACCAGGUUGCCACGCUGCAUCACGCAACGCCACUCACACCUCUCACCCUCACACACGACGGGUACUCUUUUCACCCUGGCACUGCGCUGUUAGAUGGCUGCGCCGACAUUGGCCUUGUGUCUUAUCACGCUGCGCGGCAGCACGGCUUGCGCUACUACCCCAACAACACCACAUACAACUCUUCAGGGGGAAAGUCCCACAAUCCUCUUGGGCGCGUUGACCUUCCCAUCCUGGCAACCAUUCAGGCCUCUCCUGAUACUGCUGCUACUACAUACAGGUACAGUUACAGAGAAGAAAGGCCUCCAGUCAAAUCAACUGACUGCUAGCCUGUUCAUCAAAAAAAGUAAAAGUUCAUGCAGGAAAGGAUAAAGUUCAUUAUUGUUUUGGAUCAAAAAACAUCGCAUGGCAUGCGUUGGAACAUGGUGAGAUGCAUGCAGGAAAAGGUGCCGCUUGAGAUUCUGGAGUUGUGAGGGAAAGGGCAUGUUCAUCAAACAAGGAUGCAUAUUUCCUUCUAAGAUUGCAAACAUGAGGGUGAGUACAUUUAAAUAACACAUGUUGUUCAUCCUGAAUGUCAUUGUGAGCAUCACACAGAUCGCACUUAGGAUCAAUAUUCUCAUUCCAGUAGUUUAGCUCAAUCCUCAAAAGAUGAACACGUAACCGAAAGCGGGCAACACUGCGUAAAAUAUGUGUGGGUAGAUCCAAAUGGAAGUACUUGGGCAGACGACAUGGGGAGAAGGUAGCAUGAGCGUCACGUUGUGGAAGGGCACAGUGAUGGUAGGUAAACGUUUUACCGACGUUUUACUGUUCGUGUCAGGUUCCCGCGGCUGACGAGCAGUAAAAAAGGGUUGCUGCCAAAAUGCCAAAUGACGUUUCCGAAGGUCUACAACAAGUUGACUCAAAUUCAGAGGACUGCCAUUGAGAAUAUGAUGAUGAUAAGACGAAGUACGCCUGAGACCUUGUGUACCAAGCAAGAGAUGAGAAAUCCAGCAUGCAGGAUGGAAUUGGCUGAGUGAAAUGUCCGCCUGAAAAACCUUACGAAGGAGAGGGCUAUUACAAAAAAUGAGGUUAUUGUAAAGGCGUGCACAUGCUCGAAGCCAAUUCAAUUGCAUGGGUUCCAAGCCACAUUCCCGUAACACACUCCAUGAAGGUGUAGAAUUCCUGACCCCAAGUAUGGUGCGUAAAAAUCGUAAGAGCCACUUUUGAAUGCAAUUUUCCAUCUCUUGACCCUGUUGCAGAUAGGAGGUGGCCCAAAUCUGAGAAGCGUAAAUGCCGGCUGGGAUGACAUAAGUUUUGAAUAACCAGAGAUACGCAUGUAAACGGUGAGUGAGACCAUGUUGUUGAAUAAAAGUACGUAUUCUGGUCAUGCUUGCCAGGCACGGCUUGAUAGCUUCCUCUGCAGCUUUGUUCAGAUUGAACUUCUUGUCACAAAACAUGCCUAGAUACUUGAAAUGCUCAGAGAAAGGCAGUUCCUCAUUGUUGUACAGGAGAGUAGGCAUAUUGUGUCCUUGAGAAUUAAAGCACACCACAACAGAUUUCUGUGUGUUGACGGUCAGGAAUUUGUCACGGAGGUAUGUGGAAAGACGAUUCAGCAUUUGCUGCAARCUGGACGGAGAGUUAGAAGUGAGGCACAGGUCGUCGGCAUAGAGGAGAUGAGAGACAGUAAAGCUGGGAAUUCCUGUACACGCGGCUGGGAUAUCAUGAAAGAUGUUAGGGAUGUCAUUCAGGUACAAAGAAAAGAGCAAAGGAGAUAAGGGACAACCUUGUUUGACACCAUGUGUUGGUUUGAUACGCGCGUGUUUGCCUCCAUCAACCAAAAUGUAUUCAUCAUCUUGGUACAGAUUCAUAAGAAUAUGAAUGGAAUGUGAAGGCAGUCGACACUUCUGUAAAUGUUGCCAGAGUCGAUGCCUGGGUACAGAGUCAUACGCUUGCUGGAAAUCAAUAAAGGCAGCAUACAGACGAGGAGAGUGAUGUGGUUGAUGACUUUGUGCAGCAUUCCUCAGAUGACGGAGAAGCUGCUACUACAUACUCUCCCAUACCUUCUUUGUGUUCAAGGAUGUCGGCCCUCAAGCCCAUUUCCUACUGCCCACAGCUGUCAUCAAGGACUGGGGUGCCAUGAUUGACUCUGUCACAAACACGCUGCACUACUGCCCGUUCCUCGACGACCCUUUCCACUUCCAAUCAGUGCCUAUCUGCGCAUCAGUGCCUCAGGCAUCCAGUGUCCAUGCCACUUUGGGCGCCCCUGGCCAUGAAGCGUGUGCAGCCCCGGCCACUCUACCACCAUGCACUUUGGAGAUGACGCUGCCCCAUGGUCAUUCCCCUUCACCCCACGAUGAAUGCUUCAAUCAAGAGUCAGAGACUGGCGUGCAUUUGGGCAACCACCCUGAAUUUCUGCGGAUCAGCAGCAGUGCCUCAUUGAGCUGUUGCAGCGCCACCACUCCACCUUCGCUCAAGACUUGGCCAGCAUGCCCGGCUAACAUGGUGUUGCCGGCCCCUUUACCAUUCCCCUCAUUCACGACAACCCCAUCAUCGCGCCGCGCUGCCAGAAGUCCCCUCAACAAGAUGUGGCCAUAAUUAAUGAGAAAUGUGGUGACAUGGAGCAGGCAGACAUCAUCAUCCCCGCCCCUCCUUACACCAAGUAUGCCAGCGAAGUCACCAUGCCGGUGAAAAAGGACCCAUCCGACAACCUCACUGGCAAACGCUUCUGUGUCGACUACAGGCCUCUCAACGCCGCAUCCCUGCCAGAUUUUUAUGGCAUGCACACACCAGAUGACCUGUUCCGCCGCAUUGCUGGGGCUACAUUUUACUAAGAUUGACAUGCGCGCCGGGACCAUCAGAUCCCCGUGCACCCUGAUGACAUAUGCAAGACUGCAUUUUGGUGGCUCAACCGCAUCUAUUGCUAUGGGUGCAUGCCCUUUGGCGCCAGGAAUGCCAGUGCUCACUUUCAACGCGUGAUGGACACUGAAGUUCUCCAAGCCAACCUGGCCUACUGCUGCCUGGCACUUGUAGAUGACUGCCUGGUCUUUAGCUAUGACGCAGAGCAGCACCUGCAGGACAUUGCAGCCACUCUCAACAUGAUUCACUCCUGCGGCCUACGCAAACACCCCAGCAAGUCAUACUUUGCUGCGGACACUGUAGAGUUCUUGGGCCACCUGAUUUUACCACAUGGCCUCAGCCUAGAAAGGGCAAAGGUGGAAACCAUCAGGCAUCUCCCUCGUCCCACUGACCUCAAGGACCAGCAGUCCAAGUUGGGCCAGCUCGGAUACUACCGGCACUUUGUGCCCAAUUUCUCUGCCAUCGCAUAUCCAAUCAACCGGCUGGCCACCAAGGGAAUUACCUGGCGCUGGGGGGAAGAGCAGGCACAGGCUUAUGAGAAGCUCAAAGACGCCAUUUGCACCCCUGGCUUGGUAUGCACGCCCAACCCCAACAAGCCUUAUUACUUACACACUGACUUUAGUGCGCGCGACAUCGGGGCUGUCCUGGGGCAACUGGAUGAGAACGACAGGGAGUAUUUGGUGGCCUGUAUUUUGCGCUCCCUCAACCAGCAUGAGAAAAACUAUGAUGCCUACAAAGGCACAGAACCUCCUUGAUCCCGGGCGCUAUGUUCCGAUAUGCCAAAGAAGCCUCCCUCCACCUUACACCCCUGCCAACAUCCCCAAGUGGCCACCCCAAGUUCUGCCCACUCUGGUGUCCCAUCCCUUACUCACACAACUUCAGAGUUUUCAAACCAGGGUCUAUCUUUGCUUCAGAUCGCACCAUGACCCAACCCACCCUGAUGAGCGUGAACGCCUCCUGGGAUUUUUGACAGGAGGAACAGCAGCUCCAGGUGUGACAGAUCAGCAACGCCAUGUCGUCACUGGCAGGGCCAUGAGCCCUUUGCAACUCCUGCACCUCUUCCGUUGCCUGCACAUGGUACAGGGUUUACAGGGUUUACAGGAAAUAAAGGCCAUCAGUCAACACUCGCGACUGCCAGGCCUGCAAAUAAAGGUAACAUUUUCAAGAAGGAAAAGGUAAUAAAGGACUGGUUGAGAUGGGUCUGGACAGUUUGGGUUAAGGACUCAUCCUGAACUCCUAUAAAGUAUAAUAGUAAGUACCGAUGAAGGAGACACACCUCAUUCAAGCGUGAAAGGAAYGCAAAUUGCUGAACCCUACAUGGCAGUUUGUGAAGGUACUGGAUAACAUGCUUACAAGGCAGGUUGAAUACAUUAGCGCAUCAAGACCCUUGAGACUUCUGCCAUAUUUCCAUGCCGUCUUGCAAAGAUGUUGAAUGAGUGGAAAAGAAAUUCAGCGAGGCUCAGUUGUAAUCUUUGAAGUCRUUCAGUUCCACCAUCAGAGUGACGAAGGCCUGCAUCGCAUGUAUCAUUCUGCAUAUGGUUUUCUUUCUCACAGAUGGAAGGAGAGGUAGAGAGAGAUUGUGUGMUGUUAGCCUCAAUWGAUGCAGUUGGUAGGUUAAUUUUGUUCUURUAGUUCAUGCCGCCUUUGCCCAUGUUCAACAGCGGAUCGAAGAUGAAGUGUUCCCAGACGGGAUACUUGAAUGCCGGUGUAUCUUGUUUCUUGAAGUUUAAGGCAUCCCUUCUAUCUCCGUAUGAAAGGAAAAUGUUUGAACCGUUCACUCCAACGUAUGAAUUGAGGCCAACAAAUUUCGGUUGAGCGGAAAUGACACGCUGAAUGUCAGUAUUCAAGUCAUUCAAACUUCUCUCGCGUUGCAUAGUCAUCUUUGUGCGUUCCCUUUGCACUUUCCAAUCAUUUGGUAUUUUGUCCUUGACAGUGUUGAGGAACGAUUCCACAGCUAGAGAGCCCGCACGUCGCCCGUUUCCGACAAGAAUACGAAAUGUUGUGUUGUACUUGUUGCAUGGGAGGAUUGUCUUGUCUGUACCAAGGACAUGCGAUAUGGUGUUGGCAGAAACGCUGUCUUUAGUCACCACGAACGCAUGUCCAGAUAUGUCAUCAUAUUUGUGGCAAUCCAUUUCAGUAUCUUUCUCCCAUUUGGAAGCUGCAUCAUAAUCAUGCUUGCGAUUGCCGAAUUGUUGCUCAAAGUUGGAUAYGCGUCGUUGGAGUAACUGGUUUUGUGAUGUUGUUUCGUGCAAUKGUCUCGUUAAUGCCGUAGCUUGCUCACACGUACGGGCCUCUUUCUGCCGAAGUUUAGUGUCAAAGUGGUUGGCGAGCUCUAUUCGUGUAGGUAGUCUCCAUAUAACCAUGGACUUGGUGCUUCGUUCAGGAUGUGUCCUUGUUCGAUACUUUGUAAUCAUCUCAUCGGUUUUUUUUUUUUUUUUUGCACAUGGUACAUGCCGACUACAGUUCAUCAACAAUUGGGGGGGAUGCACCUCCUUCUCCACCUCCACACACAGCCAUCAACAAUUGUUGAUGAACCACUGGCCCCACGCACACCUUCACCCCCAACUGCGCCAUCCAUGUUUGACGAUCUUGGCAGUCCUGACCCGCACUCUGCCGUCAUCAGAGGCAUCCCUUCCUCCGUGUUCCUCACCCACGCGCAGCAACCCUUAGAUGACCUGGCUACCUCUGAUGAGGAAGAUGCUGAGUUUGAGUUUCGGCCAGAUUCUCUGCCUGACAAGCGCAUGUCCUGCAACCCCAUCCACCGGCCAGAAGCCCCUUACCGCCGUGAUCUGGAUUCAUAUAUGGAGGAGCAAGAGUUUUCACAGCGUGUCUUCCAGUCAGAAGCAGGGCAGGCAGCAGUGAAUGAGGCAGCUGACUUUGACGCUGAUGUGGCAAUUGCAAGCCUGGACAAAACGCAAGACAUCUAUGCGGACGCUGACUUCAUUUCCUACAACACCAAGACUUCCCUGAUGGCCUGGCCAAAGAGGAUCGUGACCGCAUACGCUGUAGGGCACGCUUCAAUUUCAUUGGAAAAGAUGGCCGGCUCCGCCAUCUUAAUAAUGCAGGCCACGCCAGGAUCAUCCCGCAUCCCUCAGAGCGCAUCCAACUGAUUGCGCAGUGGCAUGAGCAGUGUUGCCACUUUGGUGUCAAACGCACCCUCUCCCUCUUGGCACAGCAUUUUUGGUGGCAUGGGAUGGUUGACCAAGUCCGCCGUGUCAUACGCAAUUGCCCCGUCUGCUCACGUGCCAACGCGUCAUUCAAUGUCAAGACACCACAGCUGCACCCAUUGCCAGUGGAUGGAUUGUUUUUUCGAUGGAAUAUGGAUUUGGCAGGUCCCAUCUCAACCCCAUCAGUCCGCGGCAGCAGCUACAUCUUUGUGGCUGUACAGCAUAUGUCCAAAUACCUGAUCGCGGUGGCCAUUCCGGAUAAGACGGCUGCAACUGUCACUGCCACCUGCGUGGAGCGCAUCUUGACGGUCUUUGGCUCCAGCGCGCAAGUGCUGACUGACAAUGGGAGUGAGUUUCAGGGCGUGUUCCAAGAACUGUGCGUCAACCUGUGCAUAGACCACCGCAACACCUCCGCCAACUGCCCUCAGUCAGAUGGCCUUGCAAAAAAGGCUGUGCAGACCAUCAAACAAGCCCUCCGCAAGCACUUGAUAGUCAACCCCGACCAAGAUUGGGACACCAGGCUUCCUUGGGUUGCACUGGCAUACAACUGCAGCAUCCAGGAGGCCACCAAGUUCACCCCAUAUGAAGUGGUCUUCGCCAGAAAGCCCAUAAUCCCACCUGACACUGCCUCUGCUUUUGCCCAGCCCCUGUCCAUUGCUACCCCUGAAGACCUUGCCCAACUGUGCCAAGAAAGAGCCCAGGCAGCUGAGCGCGCCAGCAUCAUUGCUGGUGAGAACAUCAAGAUUGCACAACACAGGGACAAGCUUUGGAACGCCCGCCUCAGAGGGGGAGGCUACACGCCCAAGCUUUUGGAGUUCCACGCUGGCAACCUGGUGUAUUUGCAGCGGAGCAACCAUGCCCACAGCCUCCAGCCCACCGUAUUGCAGCGCAUAUACCGGAUGCUUAUCCCGCCAGUAGCCGGGGCUGUCAAGCUCCAAGGAAGGGAUGGCCGCACCAUUACCACCAACGUACGCAACUGUGCCCCAAGCCACAUGACCGUGGACCUUACUGUUUAUCACACACUGGCACGUCCUGACGCCAGCUUGUCAUGUGAGAUAUGCAGCCUUCCACACCAGGCCCUCAUGCUGUAAUGUGACGCAUGCGAUGCAGGCUACCACACCUACUGCCUCCGGCCCCCAUUGCCACGCGUACCCUGGGGCAUCUGGCUCUGCCCUGCCUGCCUUGAUGACGGCAUCACUGCUGACCAGGUCAAGCAGAUCCAAGAAGUAGAGGAGGCACAACCUGAGCAGCGCCAACGCAUGAUUUUGUCACCCCGCCGUGGCAGGCCUUCCCGUAGCGCAUCCCCGCAGCAAGCAGAACAUGCACCGCCUAAGCAGCAGCAGCAGGGACCCGUCACCCCGCCGCAGCAGGCGCACGCGCAGCCUGGCCUCUAUCUAUGCAUCCUAGCUCUUGGGCUGAGCUGCAGGCCCAGGCCACUCAACCUUCAACCCAUGCCUCACCACGUUCGGCCUGAGGCCACCCAACCUCCAACUCUUGCCACACCUCGUAUAAGCCCUGUCCUUCGCCUAUUGCAAUACCCACCAGGCAACCUCACCUCCAACUCGUGCUACACCACGUCCAAGCCCCAUCCUUUGCCUUACGCAACGCACGCCUGUCCAUCAUGCCACCAGCCCAUGCUUCGCCAUAUACACGCCUUCUUCACCUUACGUUCCCUCAAUCCAAUCUUCCAUCACCCCUUGCCCCCUAGACACCCAGACAACGAACAACCUGACCUCGCUCAGACAACGGACAGCCUGAAACCGCCCAGACAACGGACAAUCUGACCUUGCCUCAACGACGGGCAACCUGACAUUACCUUGGCUAUGGUCAACCUGUCAUCAGGCUUGAGGAAUUUAUGCCGCAAAACGAAUCAUCCUUGGCAGGUUUACGCCCACUGUUUCCACCCUUGAAGCCCAUCCCCUGGAGACCCCUGGCUUUCACUGUAACCCGUUCAUGACAACCUGCCUUCCCUGAGCUCAAUGUCAACACCAUAGGUUACCUGAGACCGACCCAGAUCUGGCGUAGAUGUCCACCUUGAGGGGUGUAGAUGUCCGCCUGACGUUAAGCGUAGAUGUCCGCCCAGUGCUGGCAUAGAUGUCCGCCUGAAUUCAGUACAGACGUCUCACCAACUUCAAGCCUUAAAACAAGUGUGCAACUUCCUCAACAGAGACAGGAGGAACAAGCACCCUUCAAACUUGCCUGCAAUGGAUCAGAAUAAGAUCACCUACAGUGACAUCAAUAGAGAAAUCAACAACAUAGACAUACAGCACAAUGGUAAGCCUCACAAGAAUGCAAAGAAAAAGCUGCAGGAAAGCAUUGCUAAGCAUCCAUCCCGCGCGAGCCAUAAAAUUUUCAAUUAUGUCCAGAACUAAUCCCCCAAUCUUAUGGCACUGGAAGAUCCGCAUACCAAAACAGUCCAAACAGACCCAGCUGUCAUGCGCAUUGUCGUCCGCGCAUCAUUAAUGUCGCGAGUGCAGUGUGAACUGAGGGCCUCUGGGCCAAACUGURUAUUAUUCCUAGUAAAGACAACCAGUGCAGGCCUGAGUGCACCAUGUGCAAACCAAUGUAGCGUAGGCCUGAGUGCACCAUGUGCAAACCAAUGUAGUAAUGCCUUUGCAGUAGUGUGCGUGCCCUGUGGCAAACCAUAAGAGACGUUCAUUGCUCAGUAGGGUGUGCACUAUUUGGGCCAUGCUUCAUGCAGAAAAAUGCACGGGCUUGGACUGCUUUCGCCUCUGGUGGGCGCAUCACUUGAGUUGUGCAGGAUGCCAAGGAUGCGUCUUCAUCUUCCUUACUUAAUGCCACUGUGUGCUUUUUGUGUGCUUUGGAUUCAUGCAUUCCAUCUCAUUUAACAUGGCCUGGUGAUUGUGCAGGUGCUCAGCCAUUUCAAGUACUGUGAUCUUAGGCUGUCAAUGCGUAUGGAAACCAAGCGCGGAUGCAGUUCCUUGUUGUUGCUGCACUUGACGAGCAGCAUCUUCAAAGCCUUGUCAUUGCUGAUAGUUGAAGCUUUGUGCACCUUGACAAAUUUUUGCGCAAACAUGGAGGUCCAUGCCAUGCACCAGCUGCAUAUUACACAGUUCUUGGUCAGGGUGUGCAGCCAUGUGUCUGAAGUGCUCCUGGACCGCUUCCAGAUGGUGCUCGUGCAUGGACCUACCCUCCGAUGGCGUGGCAAUGAGGGCAUACCGGUUUGCCUCAUACCAUUCCUGGCUGGCGUCUCUGUCUUGAAUGCCGCGAGUCAGAAAAAUAUCAACAAGAUCAGCCUCUGAAAUGCUAUUGUUGCCCUUGUUCAAGAGAGCUGUCCUGGCAAAACCACCAUUUGGCCGGGCUGAUCCAGUCAUGCAAAUCAUCCUUGCCCUUCUCGCCCCUAAUUUGUGGAGCUGACUCAGGGAUGUUGGUUGCAGGCAUUCCUUCCAAAUUUGCUAAAGGGUCGUCAAGUGUUCUUAACCCUGUCUCUGGUGCCUAAAACACUUCUUCCUGGUCUUGAGGUUCUGUGCUGACCACUGGUUUGGCUGGUUGGUGAGCACUAGCCUCUCCUAGAUUUUUGGUACUGGUUUCUAUCAAUGGCGCAGCUUGUUGGCUGGUGCCAGCAUUUACUUGCUGUUGAUUGGCAGCAUCUUGUUCUAAUUCUCUUCUAUCAGCAGCCUCCUUUUGCAGUUUAGCCUGCAACCUGGUUAAAGGUAUACCCAUUCAUAACAAGAGCCCUUGGAGGAGGAGUGGGCGCAGCAGCCCACCGUCUAAUUAUUUGAGAACACAUAUGCAGGUCAUGCAACACGCACUGAUGCUCUAAAUGAUUUCUCCUUGUUUCACAUGGUGACAAGAAUCCCUAUUCCAUUGUUUUUGUUUUCCUUUUCUUUGGUGGCAAGAUCAGCUAGGUCGAUGCACUUCAAAAUGGAUGGUCUCUAUGGGCAAGAUAAUGCAAGCUGUCUGUUGUUCUUCAAGCAACUCCCAAAAGAGAAAGAGAGAUACAGAUCACUACACGAAGCCUGAGGCUGGGUUCACUGACCAAUGCGGCGCAGGCCGCUGCAUGCUGAGGAGUUGAUCACAUUGAUGGUGACCUGCCCAUUGAAGUACAUGCCCUGCUGCACCGUCUGCAUGGGCAUGGGUGGUAGCUGCUCGACGAAGGGCUGCAUCCAGGGAGCCCUCGGUGCGUCCAUGGGAAGGUGCCGCCAGAGCUUGAAGUUGCACUCCUCGUUUAGGUGGGGAGGAGUGUGGCGGCAGUGACCAUUGUGGAUGCACCAGGCAUUGUCGGGGAAGGCCCAAUGCAGCUGCAUGCGCGAAAAGAAAGAAAGAAAGAAAAAUCUACGCCCUUGAGCGUGCAUUAAGGGAAGAACCUGUCAGGGAACUCACCAACCACCCGGAUUCCUCCAAGUUUCUUGUGCGCGCACUGGGGUAGGCCGGAUCCCUCAGGUUUGCGCGGCGCUGCUGCAACAUGCCUCCACCCCCAAAGUGCAUGGGUGGUGCACCUCUCAUGGCGCCCCGCAUGCCACCCCGCAUGGCACCUCUCAUGUUACCCCUCAUGGCACCCCUCCCCUAGUGAAGGCCUGGGUAAGGCUGCCUCCUGCUCCAUGGCCAGGGUAUCCCCGCGCUUGCCGCGGCCACAACCCCGGCCACAACCCCGACCACAACCCCAAAUAUCCUGCUGCUGGAUGGGCUGCACAAUACCUUCCAUCUCAUCAUCGGGAGCGUGCUGGACUUGCUGCUGACCAUGGGGGGGGUACCUGCUGGACUUGCUGCUGGCCAAUCUGACCAGCGAUCUCGUCCAAAGUUCUCACCAUGGUCAAAGCAUUUUCUUCAUGCUGACUUGCAAUUUCUGCGCAUGCAUCAAAUUUCAGAAAGGCACGCGUGCCUGACUUGUCUUGUCAAAACACAAUUUUCCCUUUAAAUAUGUGUGCCAUAUCCCAAUAUGCCCUGUUACUUGGAAGAAUAAUCUUUGUCAAAGAGAGCUCAGAUUGAGGCGGCAUAAAAAAAUGGAAAGGCCCCCCUUGUCUCAAUGCGGGUAGAUCACAGGCCUUUCCACCUUUAGUCUGCAUUCCACCCUCUACGUGAAUGGACGGCCUUGAUUCCCCCCAUUAGGCUUUGAUACCACGCACCUACUGUGUUGGCCGGCCUUAAUUCCCCCCAUAAGGCUUCAACCUCCCAAUCGCGGGCAGAUAAAAAACUGUCCAAUUUUUCAUUAUAGCCCAGCAGUCAUCCAUUUUGACUGAGUGGCUCUUUCCUUGUAACCUUGUAACCUCCCAAUCGCGGGCAGAAGGCCUUCAAUCCCCAGGUAACUGCACACCAGUGGUGUCGUAAGCUAAUCUAAAAUCAAGAAGGCCCCUCCCCUGUUGUCGGUGAAUGACUAGCCUCUCUCCCUUAAGGCUUUGAUUCCACCCUAAAAGUAGUCAUCUCUAGUCUAUUGCGGGUGGACGGCCUUGAUUUCCCCCCGUAAAGCUUCUCAACCAGGUACUCUGCCAUGGCGGGCCUUUGAUCCCCCCUUGAGGCUACAAGCCACCCCACUGCGGGCAGUUGGCCCUCACACCCAGUCAGGGACAGUCACCUUUUCAUGCAGAUCAUGAAAUGCCCCCAACUUGCCGCAUCAACAAAGCCUUAAUGCUCAUCCUAGGCAGGCAGCAGUGGAUAGCAUUUAAAGUUUCAGCUUGAUACGUCUACGUUUCCUUGAAGGAAACCACUUGCUUCUGGUUUUGUAAAGUGCUUUCAGCUUGCAUGCUCGCUUGCACAGGGAACUUAAUCACUGAGCACUGCAUGUGCUGGCUACACAAAUAAGACAUGACUUUGACGAUGGACGCGUGGCCCUAAACCUAACACUGAUGAUGUGUGAGAGCUCAAACAUGACAGCCAGAGAUGAGGUGCAGAUUACCACCCCCAUUGACCUUUGGAGCGUCUUGUAAAGGCUACAUUUCUGACCACACUGAUGCCGCCAAUGGCGAGGCAUAAAUCUAGGAUAAUGGCUCUGAGACUCGGCAUAGCAAGUGGGGGGUAUACAGAGUUACAGAGUUACAGAGGAAAAAAGGCCUCCAGUCAAACCGACUGACUGCUAGCCUGUUCAUAAAAAAGUAGGAGUUCAUGCAGGAAAGGAUAAAGUUUAUUAUUGUUUUGAUUCAAAAAAGAACGCAUGGCAUGCGGUGAGACAUGGUGAGAUGCAUGCAGGAACGGUGCCGCUUGAGACUCCGGAGUUGAGAGGGAAAGGGCAUGUCCAUUAAACAAAGAUGCAUAUUUCCUUCUAUGGUUGCAAACAUGAGGGUGAGUACACUUAAAUAGCACAUGUUGUUCAUCCUGAGCGUCAUCAUUAGCAUCACACAGAUCGCACUUAGGAUCAAUAUCUUCAUUCCAGUAGUUGAGCUCAAUCCUCAAAAGAUGAACACGUAACCGAAAGCGGGCAACACUGUGUAAAAUAUGUGUGGGUAGAUCCAAAUGGAAGUACUUAGGCAGACGACAUGGGGAGAAGGUAGCAUGAGCGUCACGUUGUGGAAGGGCACACCAAUGAUGAUAAGUGAACGUUUUACUGUUCGUCUCAGGUUCUCGUGGCUGACGAGCAGUAAAAAAGGGUUGCUGCCAAAAUGCCAAAUGACGUUUCCGAAGAUCUACAACAAGUUGACUCAGAUUCAGAGGACUGCCAUUGUUAAUAUGAUGAUGGUAAGAUGGAGUAUGCCUAAGACCUUGUGUACCAAGCAAGAGAUGAGAAAUCCAGCAUGCAGGAUGGAAUUGGCUGAGUGAAAUGUCUGCCUGAAAAACCUUACGAAGGAGAGGGCUAUUACAAAAAAUGAGAUUGUUGUAAAGGCGUGCACAUGCUCGAAGCCAAUUCAAUUGCAUGGGUUCCAAGCCACAUUCCCGUAACACACUCCAUGAAGGUGUAGAAUUCCUGACNNNNNNNNNNNNNNNNNNNNNNNNNNNNNNNNNNNNNNNNNNNNNNNNNNNNNNNNNNNNNNNNNNNNNNNNNNNNNNNNNNNNNNNNNNNNNNNNNNNNNNNNNNNNNNNNNNNNNNNNNNNNNNNNNNNNNNNNNNNNNNNNNNNNNNNNNNNNNNNNNNNNNNNNNNNNNNNNNNNNNNNNNNNNNNNNNNNNNNNNNNNNNNNNNNNNNNNNNNNNNNNNNNNNNNNNNNNNNNNNNNNNNNNNNNNNNNNNNNNNNNNNNNNNNNNNNNNNNNNNNNNNNNNNNNNNNNNNNNNNNNNNNNNNNNNNNNNNNNNNNNNNNNNNNNNNNNNNNNNNNNNNNNNNNNNNNNNNNNNNNNNNNNNNNNNNNNNNNNNNNNNNNNNNNNNNNNNNNNNNNNNNNNNNNNNNNNNNNNNNNNNNNNNNNNNNNNNNNNNNNNNNNNNNNNNNNNNNNNNNNNNNNNNNNNNNNNNNNNNNNNNNNNNNNNNNNNNNNNNNNNNNNNNNNNNNNNNNNNNNNNNNNNNNNNNNNNNNNNNNNNNNNNNNNNNNNNNNNNNNNNNNNNNNNNNNNNNNNNNNNNNNNNNNNNNNNNNNNNNNNNNNNNNNNNNNNNNNNNNNNNNNNNNNNNNNNNNNNNNNNNNNNNNNNNNNNNNNNNNNNNNNNNNNNNNNNNNNNNNNNNNNNNNNNNGAACUCGUGCAGCAUUCCUCAAAUGACGAAGAAUAAAGAGUGGGUGAAGAGUACUGCGCCCGGGGUAAAAACCAAAUUGAGAGUCAGGUAUUGAAUGAGUUUGCUCAUACCAGUCUUGUAAAAGGGUACGAAGCACGUUGGUAUAAAGGCGGUAAAAGGUCCCACUUACAGCAAGCAUGCGGUAAUUACUGGCAUGCACAAUGGAACCUUUUUUAUACAKAGGGGUGAGUUUAGCAGUCUUCCACUCAGAGGGUAUGGAGGCUUUAAUAAAAAGCAAAUGAAAAAAGGUUGAAAUGAUUGGUGUCAAAACAUUGGUUUGUUGGAAGGCUCUGCCGUCAUCAUGCCUAACCACUGUGCAAGCAUACUUGAGAAAAGCUGGCAAAAUAGAGUCAAAUCCUGGUGAUGAGCUACCCUUGAGGCGUGAAAGGUGAAGUGCUACAAUCUUACGUAAUUGACUCUCAUCAGGAAGAGGAAAACCAUCAAAAGAGGGCGCAUCGUUAUGUGACUGGUGGUGCCCAUUAAGGGAAGGGACAGUACGUGCACGAAGUGAAGAAGAGGAGCUCGUGGAUCGUACGAAAACUUUAGACAGAUGUUCCUGCCAUGCUGAAAGGGACACGGGUGUGGUAUGUUUGACAGGUUGCUGUCUCAAGAAGGAAUGAACAAAUGGAUCCUUGUGGUAGAGUUUGUCCAUGAAGGAGGCAGCGCGCGCAUGGGUAAAUCUGCGUUUUGACCGUUGAACUUGCGCCUUGUAUUGGCGAUGAAGUUGUUGGCAAGCAUGCCAGGCUAGCCCAGAUUUAACUGCGAGAAGAAACUCUUUCUUUCUGGUUGCACAUUCCAGAUCAAACCAAAAGGGUCGUCUAGAAGUUGAACGAGGAAAAGUUGACCUGGAUAUAGUCAUGCCCACUUGAGGGUCACACGCUGUCUGUAUUAUCCAUGAUUUGAGCUCCUGAUAUGAAGAAUCAACAUCUUGUGCCCGAAUAUGAUGUAAAAAAGGGUUACGUUUCUUGUCAUUGUUACGGAGGAGUUGAGCAAAAAGGGUGGCGCAAUCCGGUCGCCAUCUUAAGAGAAAUUCUUGGCAUUGUGUGGGUAAAAGAAAAUUACAUAUGGGUGAUUGAAGUCUCUUAUCAAUAUGCCCUGUUGGACUGGAAGAGGGGACAAAAAAAKUGGAUAGAGCGGCAUGAUCAAAACAUACAGGAUAUGUAAUAUGGGCAUGGUGUAAAAGAGAGAAGAGUUCUAGAGAACAUAGAAAGUGAUCUGGACGAGAAUUAGAUAGAUUGUCAUAUCCUUUAUAUGUCCGUUGACCCGAGUCUCCAUCUACAUGUCCUGUAGUUAUGAGAAGCUUGUAAGUAGCUGCCAAAUCAAGGAGGCGUAUGCCCGCUCUGUUAACUUGAGAGCACCGAGAUUGCCUAUUAUGAGUAAGGUAAGGAUGUCGUGAGAGAAACUCAUAAUGUAUAUCAGAAAGUUCUUUUGUGUCGGCAAUAUGGGCAUUGAAAUCCCCACCAAUAAGAAUAUGUGGUGUUUGUGAAUAAGCCUGAAAAAUCUCUUCACCUAGGGAGAAGUAGAGAUUAUCGAUGGGGGGUAUACUACGUGCACAUGCGUCUCACAGAACAGAUUUUUAGGCAGCGCGCCCAUUCAUUGCUUAACCCCGCUUGCUUUAUCAGACAUCACAAUAGCACUUGCACCCACUUCGGCGCUGUGCUUGUGGCUCCAGGCUCUGGUGCAGUGCUGCUUUUUGGCUGGUUUUGCCUGUGGCGAGGUUUGCUUCUUCACUCGGCUAACUGUGCAGUGCACGCAAAGAGUGCAUACAGCGUUCAGAGAAGUUUAGUUCGAUGUUGCUGUGGCUUACAACAAGUGGCUAGUUAGCUGGGGCGCCCAGCUUUGGCAAAUGGCUUCACUGAAUGGCAACUACUUGAAUGUUGGCGCGACACAUAAUGCACAGGCUUCAUGCAUACUUUCUUUCCUACUAAGGCUACUGCUUUGCGCUGAGCGCACUGAUGCUGACGACACACUUAACUGGUGGUGCUGCUGCUGCACUCCUUCUCCUUGGGCUGAAAGGCCUUUGCCUUGCAUGAAGGUGGGCUCAGAUAGGGCUGCUGCUAGUAUCUUACACACUCCUGGAUCUUACACAGUCCUAGAUAACAAGAACAAUCAGAAAGGUGGCGCUAUUACGAGUUACUGAAUAAAAGUUCUCUAAACGCAGCCACAGCUGCGUAAUCACAGGUGUAAUUAUCAAAGGUUCAACCGACACAACAAUUUUGCAGCACAAUCUCACCUGCAGCAUACUCUCGGCGUGACAUGUUCAUUACUUUGUGCUUUGAAACAGGCUUUUGGAAACAUGUUGCAUUUCCAUGGGCUGUCGAAACACUUUGUGAAUAGCAGGCAUUGAAUCUAAAUCUAAAUAUCUUUAAAAAGGCUUGGUUGCAAAGAGACAAGAUAUUGCAUUUGUGGAUUGUGCUUUGCCUGAAAAUGUCUUUUAAAGUUGAAGACCAUUACCAUCUUGCAUUGCAUUUGUCAACAUACACUUUCCUGAGAUUACAUUUGGCCUUUUUGAUCUAUAUUCUUGCGUGGACGCACCACAAGAAAAGGGGAGCAAGUUUUUAUGUGAUUAGGGAUCAAGUGAGAAUUUCUGUGUGAGAUAUGAGAUCAAUCUUGGAAACUGAGGAAUCUCUUGUUUCUGCCCUUCUUAAUUAUACUUGUAACCACAACAGCCCUCCAACACUUGAGACCCUGCCAGCCUCAAGUCUCAGCGCCAGGUGUGACGUCAAGAAGGAAACCCAUUUUGCAAUUUUUUGUGCUAGAACUAGCCGAGUUUGUGACUGCUUGCUUGAAAUGAUGUGCAUGAUUUUGAGCAAUGCUUUUGAUUUUAUCUGGUUUGGUCUGGUUACAGACCUCUGUGUUUCUGCGCAGCUGCCCUUGAAGGCGGAUAUAACGUGUUACCUCACCUUACCUUACCUUAGCAUCUGUGGUGAAGCACUCGGUAAAGGUGACUUUGGACCCUUCAUUGUCUCAAUGGACGCUUGCAACCCAGAUAGGCUAACCUCCCUGGAUAUAGAAACCCCAAAUGAUGUUCAAAGAAACAUUCUGCAUUAGGUCUUCCCCUCCAGACAGCCACCAAACACGCAACUUAGUCGCCCUGACGGCAUCAUAGCAUUACCCCUGCCAGGCAGAGACUCCACCCAACACCCUAAGGACAUGAACCCCAGAGACAGGGACACUCACCUCAUUGAGCUGAAAUUCUGCCCAGACACCAGUCAACUCUCAAUACUGCACAAAACCAACACAAAAACACUAUAGAGAGCUUAUGCACAGAAAAACCUCCAAGGCUCACACUGCAAUAAGAAAGAUACUCUUCACACAAUCCUCAUAGAGUUGCAGGAACCAUUUAUAACACCACUAUUUGUAACACCAUUGAUAUCGACCAUGUAGCACUUUAUUAUUAUUUAUAUUAUUUAUAUUAUUGAUGUUAUUAUUAUUAUCAUUAUUACGGUGCGUUUCCAAAGGGGCAAUUAACAAUUAAUCAUUAACUCGAAAAAUGAAUUAAUGGCAAAUCGCGUUUCCAAAGCGCAAUUAAUUGGCGCAAUUAAUGAAUUAACGCAAUUAAUGCAGGAAUUAAUGUUAAUGGACGGGGGGGGGGGGUCCAUUAACCAUUAAUUGCUCGCAAUUAAUUCAGAAAUUCCGGUCAACGCCUGUUUAGGAUACGGAAAGGAAAUACCUUUGCAUGGAGAAGUCCUACAAACUUGGGUCAACUCCUGCAUACAGCAGGCUCCCUACCCACGUAACCCCCUCUCAUGCAGUCCACAGGUGUCUCUCCCCCCCCCGCCCCACUCUCCCUUCUCCCUCUAGUGUACACCUCUUGAGCCUUGCCCUCCUUCAUACCGUAAGCCUGCUCAGCGCUCGUUGCUGGGACGGUCAAAGCCCCAGUAUUCAGGAUUCCGACUCACCUCCCUUCAAAGGACAAAGACCUCCAUGAUGAAAGUGUCCAUGAUGUGUGUGUGUGCUCCUUCACGUCAUGUGCAAGUUCUCCAGCGUGGAGCUCCAAUGGAAGAGGCAGAGCUCCAGUGGGCUCCGCCCUUGAGGGCGCCUGCUCCACCCCGCAGCUUGGGGGGUCAUGCAUGGAAGGAGUCUUGGUCAGAAGCUUGAAAGGGCCAUGCAGUGCAUGUCUCCAAUUAAUUGGACCAAUUAAUUGCGCUCGGGCUUGGUUGGAAACGCAGAUGCACUUAAUUCAGCAAUUUUCAAUUAAUCGCAAUUAACAAAUGCAAUCAACGCAAAAUUAAUUGCAAGUUGUUGGAAACGCACCGUUAUUAUUAUUAUUAUUAUCAUUAUUAUUAUUAUUAUUAUUAUUAUUAUUAUUAUUAUUAUUAUUAUUAUUAUUAUUNNNNNNNNNNNNNNNNNNNNNNNNNNNNNNNNNNNNNNNNNNNNNNNNNNNNNNNNNNNNNNNNNNNNNNNNNNNNNNNNNNNNNNNNNNNNNNNNNNNNNNNNNNNNNNNNNNNNNNNNNNNNNNNNNNNNNNNNNNNNNNNNNNNNNNNNNNNNNNNNNNNNNNNNNNNNNNNNNNNNNNNNNNNNNNNNNNNNNNNNNNNNNNNNNNNNNNNNNNNNNNNNNNNNNNNNNNNNNGCCUCCUGGUUAUUGAAUAGAAAGGCAUACUUAGCACGCAAUGCAACGACAUGGGGGUGAGUACAGUGAAAAAUAACAUGUUUUUCAUCUUGAAUACAACCUAAUUCCUGACACAAAUCACAAUGAGAGGAAGAACCCUGAUUCCAAGUAGAUGUUUC
rnacentral:lncRNA from 1 species